rnacentral:lncRNA from 1 species
UUGCUUUCAAAAGAAAAGAGCUAGAUUCUCUUCGGCUUCGGCUGUAUAAGAUGAACCAAGUAAAGCUUCCGAUGAAACUAAUUCCCUUAGAGCAAAAAGAAAGAAGGAAUAUAUGAUUUUGGACCUUAACUUGACUAUCUGAUUGCCCUCACUCUACUUGAAACAGUUUAUUCUCUUUGUAACAUUCCUCGACAAUCACCUCUUUCCACUCAUUCACUAAGCGCUACAUAAGGAAUUGAUUCUUUUACUUGGGCGUACGUAGUUGCUUGACGGGUCGGACUACUCUAUUACUAUACUUUGAGGGGCUGUAAACCAUGGCUAUCUGAGUUUCUCAAUUCCUAAACUGGAACUAACUAUUCUUUAGUUCGCUACCGGGUAACUCCAUUCUUAAAGGAAGCAUCACUAGGUUCAGAGUCAAGAACAGGCGAGGUCUAAUUGAACUAAUUUACUUACCACACCUGGGUUUAGUGAUAGGGAAGGCUCUGGAAAAACACUUAUUGAACCGCGCAGAGUAUAGAUAUAGAUUAGAUUACUUCUUUUUAUGAUGACACUCAGUAUUCAACACGAGCACACCCGAACUUGGACAACACCGGCACAGCGGAUUCUCUCUACCCCUCAGCCUCACCUUUUGUUUGUCUCUGCCUCUGCCUUAGCUUCACCUUUAUUUCAUGCUUGGACUAGACCCGAACACAGGACUCAAAAGAAGGAGUGCAAGAAUGAAAACAAUAACUAUCAGGCUUGGACUCCCCGGUUGCAUUCUAUCACUUAGCAGCUCCAUUCUAAACACCCUAGCCUGGCAUCCAAUACUAGCUACCACUGAUUUGAGUCUUAGUACCACUGUUUGAAGUCUGCUCCCACGGGGGCCAACUUCCAUUCUGAUAGGUGUGAGUUUGAUUCUUAGUAAUAGUAGCGGGAGUCUUGCUAGCACUGGUUGAAGGUUGUCCAGCACCGGUUUGAUUCUUUGACUCCUUAGCAGCAGCCUGAGUAUACCCAGCAUCAAGCUUGGAGUUAGUGCUUUCAGGCUUACUGGGGCACUGUUGGAUUCUGAUCGGAUCUAGCUGAAGUCUGUUACUCCUUAGCUCCAUUCUUAGGUUAACCAGCUCCCGAACACAGGAUUAGAUGCACCGGUUGCAGGCUUGGAUGCACCGGCCUCAGUCUUAGCUGCAGUGUUUCAAGCCUGUUUCUCGCUGGGGUAAGUCUGAGAUGCACUAGUUUCGUUCUGCUUGUUAGUGGUUUGGGUCUUUAACUACUGGGGCUCAGUCUCGUUGGCACUGGGUUAAGGCUUAGAGUUAGUUGUUUAAGUCUGCCUAGCUCACCUCUGACACCAGAACAUAUGAGUAGUUAUCAGAGAAGAAGACCGGAUGGCUAGCUACACUCUUAAUCUGUUACUCACUAGUUCGAUUCUUUUACUUAUUGGUUGUAUUCCUUUUCUCAUUGGUUUGCUCCACUCUAGUAGUAGUGCAUUCUUGUUAACGGUAGGCUUUCAGCACCUUAUCAUAAGAACAAGUAGUAGAGGCACCAUCCCAAGUCUUAUUAACGGGUAGUUAAGCCAAUAUUUCUAGUUUCGCCUUCCUGUAGGAGUUUGCUUGCCCAUGGGUUAUUCUUUUUAUCGGUUGCUAGGAUACUGGUCUCCACUACAAGACCUAUAAGAACGGCUAUAUAGGCCCAAUAGUUUAAAUACAGAAUUCAGUGAAAGGUUAUAAGAAAGAAAAGUCUUAGUAUAAGUUGAAGAACGAAAGUGAGGGAUAUCAGCUUUGAAGCAAGGGGACAAAGGCGUAGUAAGUAAAGCAAGGUUCGGGGGCUGUAGUGACAGGCUAGGUUCCGAGCUAAGGAAUUAGAAGCUGCAUUGCAUUGGUGAAAGUCUGAGAAGCACUAUUUGCACUCAAAGUUUCUUAUUCAAUUGUGAAAAGGUGGGCUAGAUCUUACCCGAAGUUAUAUAGAAUGCUAUAAGGUAUAGUCAGAAUGAGGUAUAGGAUAGUCAGAAUGAGAUACUUCCAGGCGAGAGCGUAUAGUAGUACUCGGUUGCCAAAGCAAAGGUAUUAGGGGUUUUUUCAUGAUCUUAAGCUGUAGAAAGUAUAGUAAGUCAGUUUCAAGUGCAAAAUCUAUUAGUAACGUUAGAGUGCAUUUGCUACUUAUAUCCUUAUUGGUAAAGGAAGAGACAAGUACUACCUUAUCUGCUAACAAGUCUAUAUAGUAAGGAACAGGGAAUGGUACUACGGACUUCAAAGAAGAAACAAGAGAAAUAGAACCAAACUAUUUACAAUGAACCUGCCUUGCCUUUGACUUUAAUGCAGAGUUGAACUAACAACAAGGUGCUUCAAGCCUACCAAGAAAAAGAAUCCAAAUGAAAACUAUAGUAUAGGCCUCUGUCCCACUGGGGACCUACAUCGGACUACCUUAAACCUUAUAGAAAGUAUUUAUCUACAGCCUAUGAGGCUCCUGCUCCCUUCCUGAACUUUCAAUACCCUGCCUUUCCGUCUUUGUUUCACCAGUGAGCCCUUCCACUACUAGCUUUUAGCCUUACUUGUGUUUGCCUCAACCUGAUUAUCCUGGCUAUCGUCCUUACUACCGUGAGUUUCAGUAUGCCUUUACUUCCUUAUAGGCUUACUUGCCCUCUCAGCAAGCUACCUAGAACUUACAUUAUUAAUAACCUGUCGAUCAGCCCCCAAGACCUAAAACACAGGCAAGUAACAACUAGACAAGCAACGGGACAAGCAAGCGGUAGCGAGUUCAAAGCAAAAGUGAGUUCCUCGUUGCGCGGCAGGAACCCCGGUAUUAUCUGCAGUGAAGCGAGUCUUAUCUCUUAGUUUCAGUUUGAUUAGUAUUAGUUCAAUCCCUGUUCAAUGGAGAAGUGGACUAGGUUUGCGCCGGGCAGUACCAUACUACUAACGUUCAAUGCAAACUACUUAAUUGAAUAAAGAAAAGAGAGAAUGUCAAAUAAUAAUAAUAAGAAUGAUGUUUACUGAACACCAGAACAAGAGCUCUUUGAUAGAGAAAAUAAACUACCUUUUUGAGACCAUGUUUCGCUAAUCAAAUACUCUCCCAUCCUUUAUAGGAAAACGAACUACUUAAUGGAAUCUAAUAAGAAAGUAGAUAAGUCAGAAUACCGGCUAGGGUGCAAAGAACGAUAUAAAGGAAAUCCAAAAUACAGCAAUUAGUAGAAGGCUAACAAGUGAACAUAGGAAUUCUUAUCGUGUGAGGGGCGGGCCUAAAUCUAAACAUAGGCAUUAAGGACAUAAGCUUAUAGAGUAGAAAGUAAGCCCCAGAGGCUGUAAAGACAGAAUUAGAUAAAGAAGAGUUAGCUUAGGUGGGGCAGUGAGCAAGGGCCAAGCAACGGCGCGCCAAGGAACGGAUAGACAAGUGUAACUGUUGGAGGAGAGGUAGUCCUGUUUGUUACUUCAAUGAGUUAACCCCGACCCUACUUCUUUUGGAACUAGCCCGCUUGCAGCUUACUUGAGAACUUAUCCUUCUCUUGCUGAACCCUGUCCCUUAUCUUAAUCCAAUUAUGUUCCUACUUCUUCUGUUGAUGCAGUAUGUUCGGCUAUAGCUCCUUAUCCCUACUUAGUCUGCCCGGUCUUCUUCAACUUGUUGGGGUGCUACUAAGGCUGGUGCUAGGGAUGCUAAGCCUAAUACAGUGUACAAUCAGAAUCAACCUAGUUGUCGACUUGGCCCCUACUAAAGUCAAGAGCAUUCCCAUCUAAAUUCUAUAUUCUCUUUCAAAAGGAUAAAAGACGGAUUCCAGUCAAACACCCGAAGGUACAAUAAAAACAUCAGUGCCUUCUCCUUCCCUAGCAACAGCCCUGAACCCAGCUUCCGAACCAACCCUCGCUACCCUGACUUUCUACUUAAUAUCGCUACGUGGGUUUGUUCACUUGAAAAGACGAGGAAUACCUAGACCUAGCUGAAUCGAGAUGUCAAUAAGAGUUCUUAAAGUGUAGAGAACAGACAACUGCAGGAAACUACUUUUAACUACGAGCUACUGUAGCAAGCCAAGCAUUAAGGUCCAGGUAGUAAACCCAACAAGUAACACCGCAACUACUUCAGAAUAGAAUUGAAAAGAAGCAGUUUCCAAAUCUGACUUUGUUUCAAGAGCAAGAUAGGAGCAAUAAGUAGAUGAGAUGAGCCUGAGUUAACCUUUCUUUUUGAGUCCUAAUUUUUCCUCUUGCUACUAUUGUCUAGUAUACGCUUGGCCGGGUUUAGUUCAUAGUUCUCUUCUUUCUAAUAUAUAGUUAGUUAAUAGGGUUCUUUCAAUAAAGAGUCAAGGGUUCUUUCGUGGGUAAGGCUUCUAGAUACUUUUCUCAGACCCAUUGCGGAUACCUCCUAGUGGCUCUAUUUCAUUCAGAGCUAGCAAUUGGCUGCCGUAUAUAGUCCUGUCUGUACCGUAGCGCUUCGGAAGUGACUCUGGUGUCGUAGUGGAAAGUGUAUCCCUUGAAGAAAGAAAAGUUUUUAGUAAGAAAGAGAAGUCUUUUUAAUCAGCCCAUCCCGAUACGGCAAAAGAAUGUGGAUUCAGAUCCAGAAUGGAUUUAUAAGAGUCUCCCACUUACAACAGGUACAGGCAAUGGGAAGGACGUACCUUGAGUGGUGGCGCUUUCAUUCUGUCCUCUUGUGAUUUUUCUCUUUUGAUUCAAGGGGACACCACGUUUUUGAACAAUUUCGAGUAAGAGGCACCCUAAUAAUCUAGUAUAGGCAAUGGGCAGAAAGAAGUCGCCUUUCCUUAAACGUAGGAAGGGAAGAAAGAUAGCCUUUUCUUUUCCUUAAGCGUAGGAAGGGAAGAAAGAUAGCCUUUUCCUUAAGCGAUUCCAUCCAAGCUGCUUAUAAAGCCAGCGCCUAUUCUACCUACAGACAGGCCAAGCCAAUUCAUAUAAACCGAUUCUCUCUCUUCUCUUCUGUCUAUGGCACAGGCUCGAUAAGCUGCUGUAACAGAACUCGCCGAUCUUUGAUAGGAAGAUAUAAUAUUAUGGGAUAGAUCAACAGGGGAUUCUUUUCCACCAAUUCAUUUUAUCGGAAGAUAAGCUCAACUCCUAUGAGAAAGAAACACUGUCUCCGCUCCGAAGGUCUAAAAAGGGCAGCUGCUAGGACAAAAAGGUGAUAAGAUGGAUACAUAAGAUGAGUACAGGUUCUGAGGAAAAGGUUAGCUUCCAACCAUUCCUUGACUCACGUAUGCCUCGCCCGGAACUUGAAGGCUAUGCCAUCCCCUAUGGGCACCUAAGGAAAGAAUCAAAAAGAAACUAGUAUAUUUAGGUGCCUCUUGCAAUAAUAUAAUAGAUAGAGGUCGUGGGUGCAGUAAAUCAUUUAUGAAUGUGCAUCAUCUUACCAAAGCCUAGAUUCAAUAGCUCACUCCUUAUGCUACUGAUUCUCUUCCCAAAGACAGACCUGACAGACCAGAUGAAAUAGAAGACUCCUUCUCUUGCAUUGGAGUUUUGCUUAUGUGGAAUCUGAGAUCAAAAUAAGCAGGAAUCAUGGCAUUCCUUCCAUAGAGAUUUUCCUAGGCCUGAUUGCUAUUGUGGGGCUUUCCUUCCUGCGUAGUGGUCAAUAGUACCUGAGCAUCCGCAGACACUUUCAAGAGAGAGAGAGAAAGAGAGAGAGAAUAUAGGCACCGGAACCCUAUUAUGAAAGAAUCGACAAACUAUACUCUUAGGAAAUAACUUAGGGAAAGGCAAUGCGAAGUCAAUCAAUAACAUAAGGUGCAGUGCGGAAAUGCGAAGUCAAUCAAUAACAUAAGGUGCAGUGCGGAAAUGCGAUGUCAAUCAAUAACAUAGGGAAAGGUAAUGCGAAGUCAAUCAAUAACAUAAGAAAAGGAAAUGUAAAUAAGAAAUCCAACUACUAGAGCGCUUAAGUCACCACACAUUCAUAGCGGUUAUGUCACCACACAUUCAUUCCAUAAGCAUAGUCACAAAACUGCUGACUCUAUUCAACAAGAGCAUAGUAACCAAACAGCUUACAUCUGAAUGCUUACUUUUUCCUUUAAUCACUUGUAUUCGUAUCGGCAGCGUAACCCUAUAAUGACUCACAGGACAGAGUCACCGUGUCAUAAAAGUGUCUACUUGUUACUGCAGCUUGUUCCUAUUCUAUCCCGCAACUUGUUCCUAUUCUCUCCAGUAGUAUAGUUCGGUUACUCUCUUAACUACCGAAUAUCAUGAUUAUUGAAUACUAUGGGUUGGGUGCCACCAUAAUAUAGAGUGGAUUAAGGUACCGCUACAAGGAUUACAAUUCAAUCUAAUAGAAGAGAGGCGCCUAUGAUAUAAUGGAAUAGAAGUGUGGAAAUAGAUGGAUUUUUAGAUAAGUAAUAGAGAUCUAGAUUGAUUUGGAUAUAUAGUAAUAGAGAUCUAGAUUGAUUUGGAUAUAUGGAGAUGUUGUAACCUAACUGAUUACUUCACCCACCAAGCUUAGUAUAAUGGCCAAACAACGAAAAGAUGAGAAUCCUUUAUUUCCGCUUCUAAGCUAACUUUCUUCUUUAUCUAAGCUAACUUUCUUCUUUAUAAAAGGAAUUGAUCCGGAUCCUGACUCGGAAUUAGCAUACCCGACAACACAAUCAUAAGCAGUUAAGUAUAUCAGAAAAGAUUCUCAAUCUCAAUCCGAAAGAGGUGAUUGACCUUACCUUGUAGUUAAGGGUAGUGCUUUGCUUUACCUUUGCGUGCUUUACUUGACCUUAGUUGUAAGAGCUAGAGACUUAAGGAGACUUUCACUUUGACUUCGAGCUCACUCAGGUCUCUGGGAGUUCGAAUAGCCCACUACGCCGGUAACAACACAGCUGACUCCUGACUUUAGGAACUACGCUAGGCAUCCCCAACAACAACUUGCAACGCUACAAGCAGUGACUGUUGAGGUGAUACUAUCAAUGUAGGAGGGAAGCAAGGAUGCCAGGGGCAGAGCUCGUAGUUGAUUUCCUUGAGUUUAUUUCCUAUAGUAGUAGCGGGAUUCUGAUCAUAAGUAUAAGCUCUAUAAGCGCUAGUUCAAGUCACUAUCUGGAGGUGGAUUCUGAUUAGUACCGGUUGUUGUCUUAUCAGUAGUAGCAAAAGUCUUAGUUCCGAGCUUGGUUCUUUUUAGUAGGUAGAGGAAUCGAAGCCAUCAAUACAUAAUGAAGUAAGGUCAAGCUCAUAGGCAAUAAAUAAAGUCAGGGCAGCGUCAGCAGCGAUGGCUAAGGGAGUGGACUCUAAAGGCCAGGCUUUGGCUGCUGGUUUCUUUCUUUUGUUGAUGAACUCAAUUCUGAUCUAGGAAUGUCCUGCAGCUCAUUCUUUUGCUUACCUAACUGACUCCUUUACUUAUUUCUCUAUUCUGCUGACUACGAGGUUGCUUUUUCUUACCCUGACUUGAUGCAAUGGAUCGAUCAUACCCUAUAGGCUAUAUAGGCUAUUGACUCAAACUUGACAUAUCCACUCGAUUGACUCAACCUUAGAUUCAGAUUGCUCAUAUAGAAACUACACAUGGAAACUACAUAUCGACUCUCUACAUCUAAAAAGUGAGCUUCGAGGCUGACUAUCACAACAAAAUGAGAACGCUGUAUGUUGACUAGGCGGAAUGGUGUUUGCUAAGAAGAAUGAGGUUGACCUAAGAGAAUGCAAGGUGGGGCAACAAGGCUGGUCGGGCUAAUGAGUAAGGCGUGAACAGCUUUUAGUAAGGCUUCAUUCUGAUGCUUCGUGUCUACAUUCUGAUUCCUGCUAGUGGAUGCGCUGGCAAUGUAGUAUUAGGGCCUUUCUUUUGUUUCACUAGUUUGAUCCUUGCUGUUAGUCAUGUCAAUUCUGUAUUCUUGUAUUGAUUAUAUUGGUCCUGAUAGUUAGUAGGCUCUUAGCACCUAUCCCCUGUUUCCUCUUUGGUUAAAGGGUCCCAUUCUUCCAGUAGCGGAGUCAGUCUCAUCAGGUAGUAGUCGAUUUCUUGGUUCCGAGCUACUUUCUUAUUAAUGGAAUUCCCGUGUUCAAGUUGGUUUCUUAUCGUUAUUGAGUCAAGUCCUGUUGCCAUCGGCUCCAAUCUUUGUUGUAGCAAGCAAAAAGGAUGAGAAGCGCUAGAUAUAGGUUAAAAGAAUGCUAAUAGAGGAAUACGUAGCUAAAUAAAUGAUCAUAAUACUCAAUUCCACUCAGUAGUAUGGGCAAACACUAGAUAUGGGAUUUGGAUCAGUAGCUUCAGUUGAAAAGCAAGGUCAGCGUCAGCUGCUGGCAGCGAUGGCUGAGUUACAGAGGAGCUCAGAAGCUAUCAGUGAAUUAUCUUACAAGCGGGCACCGGUUCGUUCUCAUAUGCUAUGCCAACACUUUCUUCUUGAUUAUUGAAGACAUAAGCAGCAAUAACCGAUACAAAAACGGUGAUUCAUUUGGAGUCUUCUAAACAACAGCGAAGACAACUGUCGAAGAAAACAGGCGUAAAGAACUACCUUACAAUACAGGGUUCCCCUACCGCCCAAACACACUUCUUUAUUGAAGCAUUUCGAUCGUUAGCUCUUCAACCGAGGGAUACUAUAGAACUAAGUCUUUAUCUAACCCAUUAGCCUACCGCUACUGCCAGUUAGUCUGACUUUUCGUUUGGUUAACUCUGCUUUUCCUCUACUUGCUUUCAUUGUUGUGUCCCCUUCUCGGCCUUCCGCUUCUUGCUUCAAUUAUGGAAACUCAGGCCAGGAAUCCUCACUACCCCCAAAAUCGAUAAGUCUGACUUUGCUGCUUAUGAGUCUGCCUCUCCAUCCAGUAUGUACUUCUUUACUCGCGCCCCGGGUUCUCUGAUUGGUGUUAGCAUUCUGAGACCGUGCCCCGACCUACUAUAUUGAUGGAACGAAGCUACCCCAAUAGACUACACAUUCUGCACCAAUAGCAUCAUAGGGAGCACAACGAGCUUGACAAAGAAUGCUCACAAUAGGGAUGAGACUGAAUGCACCUAGGCCCCCUUACGCCGCAAACAGUUCUCAAGGGAAAAACCAAGAGCUGUUUUGUGCUCCAAAAAGGCUACCUCUCUAUACGAAAACUCAACCUAUUCCUAAUAGAAGAUAAUAGAGAAGCAAAACAUAUAUUCUACGCUUGGUCGUAAGUAGCGACUUGUAUGCUUGUUGCGUAUGACAUGUUCCUUUCGCUAGGACUACUGAUCCGGAUCUCUGCUUCAAAACACCUAUCUAUUGGGGUCAAAUCUGAUUCCUCUCCUAAAAAACACUGCCGCUACUUACCUUUGCUCUUCAACUAACUACUAUGAUACUUUAGCUGCUGAUCCCCAAGCUGCCUUUCUCCUCUUUCACUCUUACUGAGACAGGAAUAUCAGAAAGAGAGACAGGGAAGCGAGACUCAACAUAAGGAGAAGAGUAUACUCAAUCUAACAUACGAAUCAGUACAGUAACUACAGGCCCAAGCAAAGAGAUACAGACUAAUAUGGUGGUAGUAUUAGGCUAAGUUCGGGGGGGAAAUGCUAGGAUCUUCAGCUGUAGCGAGAGACUAAAGGCAAGACAGGGUUGGUGCCCCAAGGAAGCAGGGCGAGAAGCCAGGGUAUUGAUAAUUAGAUAAGGCAGUAGAAGUGUGAGAGCGAGCAGGGACAUACUGAACCUAUCAAUACAUAAUGAAGUGAAGCGGUGUCAGUUUGAAAGCGAGGGCAGCAAAGCAGCUGGCAAUAGCUUACAUAAUAGAAGUCAUAAGUCAGUAGCCUAAGAGUAGACAAGUAACUACCAGCAUGAAACCAAAGGGGUGUAUAGGCUUAAGGAGAGGUUAGUCGGAAUGGGAGAAAGUAGUAACUGGCCCAUAGUUGGUGUAGUCGAAGGAUCACAAGAGAAAUCCGGAUUUGAGUUCAGUAGCGGUCGACAACAUCGAACCCUGUUAGUAGUAGCUCUAUUCCGUUUUAGAGGUAGUAGUGACAUGCUAACAAUCAAACAUAGGCCAUAGUUCCAGUAUGCAAGUACUGGCAGUCAGCCUUGGGAUCAAUAGCUACAGAACCAGGCCUUCUUCUGAAGGUGCCCCAUAUAAGGAAAGACCAAAAGGAGAGACAAUGGAAUGGGGAAAAGUGCGAAUAAGCUGUUUUCAAAGAUGCUGUCAGUCACACGGCAAGAUGGUUUCGUUCUUCAGAGCAGAGACUGGACCGGGAAUCCCUUCUAUGAGAAUUAGUUCUUCACAAGUUGAUAAAGGGUCGUGAGAUUCAGUUAUCAUGAUCCUCUAGUUUGUAUAUAAUAUUCUAUUCCACUUUCUGGGAACUCUCUUUCUUAUCGAUAGGCUGGAAAAGUGAAUUGAUAAAAGCCAGCGAAAGAGACAUGAGACAAUGGGCGCGCUUACGAAUGCCAAAGCGAAACCAUAAAUAAAGAAAGGCGUCUGUAUACGAUUGACUCUGAGUCGCCUGACAAUAUGAGAAACAGAAGCUGAUGAUAUUCGGUGUUCUUAUGAAAUAAAGGCUUUCGAAUUCCGUUCCGGAAAAAGAAAGAAAGUGCUCUUGAGCUGUAGCACUCAGGAUCAGAGUUCGCCGAUUGGUCAUGACAACAAAAUGCCAAUUCUUUCUGCAGUUCCAAAUAAAGAGAAGGUGGAAAGCAUGAAUCCUGCCGGGCUACUCAAAAAAGAAAAGAGAAAGAAGCUGUGCCAGUUGCACUAAGUAAGAGAGCUAGGGAUUGUGGAUGAAGGUAAGUGUCUUCUUGGCAGACCGAAUUCGAGAGCCCGCUUGGUGAUGCUAAGACCAAAGAGAAUUCCUAGCUUUGCUUUCCUUCUAGGACUCCGGAACAGAGAAGGGAGACUUCAAAGGGGUAAGUAGGACGAAUUCUCAACGGGGAGCCAGUUGCUAAUUUAGGUCUCUGACACCCCUAUAGACUAGAAUAAUGGAUUUUAUUACAUUUGAAAUCCUGAAUGACGAUUCUCCAUUCUCUGGGAUGAGAGUAAGGAGUAUGUAUUCAAGGGAUGGAUAAUAAAUAGCCCCACUUGACCAAAGGAAGCGAUAGCGCCGCUCUCAAAUAAGCAAAAAAGAAGGAAGUGGAAUAGACAUAACAUUGAAUCAUGCCUGUUUUCCAGAGCGGAGACGUGCAGUCAAUCUCCAUCGAUUCCAAAUAGAAAUAAAUGAUGCUGACGAACUAUUCAAGUUGGCUUUAGUUCAUUCUAUUGUAUUGCUUCAGUGGGAACUGCGGAUUCCCCUCAUUGUUACGUUCUUUGACGAGACGCGUGACCAACUCGAUGAGGAACUAACUCCCGCUCAGACGCUAGGACUAGGGAUAGCAAAAUGCUAUAUUUCCUGAGUGGGACUCUAUCAGGCUCGACUCUUGUUCUAUUUCUCUUUCUUUGAGAGAGCGCAACGAGAACCAAGUCUGGCUACAUACAUGGGAACAGGUAAAGGCUAUUUUGUUGGAUUUCUAUUUGAUUCCUUUAAGUCUUUCAGUAUCUAUUCUGAGUUAAGUAUUUCUGUCUCUAUUCUUAUCCGGGAAUCCUAGCAAGAGUCAGUUUCUAGUAAACCAAGGUAAGUGAUUGGCAAGAGUCAGUUUCUAGUAAACCAAGGUAAGUGAUUGGGACAUUUUGUCCGCAAAGAAAAGAAGGAAAGGCGUAUAAUUACGACGGAGAAAUUCCUCGUAAUUACGGAAAUGGUGACUCCGAUAACGGACGAUUGGCCCGGUGCUUUCUAGAACUUUAGCACACUAAAUAUUCAUUCAUCAUUUAGCCAAAGAUGCACGCACAUCCUUCAGAGUCAUUGCUUAAGAAGGCGCUAAAAACACAGAAUGAAAUGAAGUCAAUCGAGAAUCAAAUAACAAGUAAAUACGGAGUGAAAACAAAGGAAAGUAGUAAGCUCGAGAUCAAGGAAGGACGCAAGGCUAAAGUGUGCCCAGAGAGACUUAAAGCGCUGUUUGUUGUCGAUAGGGCCGCUCCAUAAAAGGUGUUUUGUACUAGUUGUUCCCGAGUCCUGUGUCCGUGUUUUGUACUAGUUGUUCCCGAGUCCUGUGUAUGACUGUUACGCGGUUUCGAGAGUUGUGAUCAAACAAAUCUUUCUUGUAGGUAAAUAAAUAGUGAAAUAGCGGGUGAUCAAACAAAUCUUCCUAGUAGGGAAUCUUCCUAGUAGGGAAUGAUAGAAUGCGAGCAAAAGUCGAGUCACUCUGUUGGUUACGCGCCAUUGUUUGUUUGAAUGAAAGUGUUAGUUGCUGGGCUAACAUAAAGGCAUUGAAUGGGAAAUGCAAGAGCGGGUGGGCGAGCAAAGAAAGAGAGAAUUAGGAGUCAAAGCAAUUAGCUAUAGAAUUCAAGUAAGGGUAGCAAGCCUCGUUAGCACUACUUGGAUUCCUUAUAGUUAGUAGUCGGAUUCUUAUGUAGUGUUUUCGCAGUCCUGUUCGUCAGCUCGGGUUCGAUCCUUGUUAUCCCAAGUUAUACUCUUUGUAUUGGUAGUUAAAGCCUAGUUUCUAGUUUCCGUUUUGUUGACACUAGAUCAAGUCUCUUGUUAUUAGGAGUUGGUCUCCUAUAGUAGUGAGUUCAGUCUUAGAAACAGUAAAUACAUGCCUUGUAGGCGGGAAUUCGUACCUAAGCCUUUUCCCACUGAGUUUCUUCCUUCCCUUGCGGGUUAUCAUUCUGAAUUCGGAGUUUCACUCUUUUAUACCACCUUAGCGGAUUCCGAUCUAUGAGAGGCUGGGCCCAUGCUACACUCCUAUACUUAUGGAAAUUCCUUAUUGGAUUUUAUUGUACCUUCAGUAGGGGGCUUAGUCUUCUACUUGCUUCUUUCAGUCGAAGAAGAAUAGGAUAAGUCCAAACUCACAUAAGUAUGAGAAUGACCCACCCUACAUCGUACCAAUACUACGAUAACUUCUACUGACCCUAGAUCAGAGACUCCCUAUUAGGUAAGGACCCUGAGUCUUAUAGCUCAUCACCUGGGAAUGAAAGAAGUUAGUGGCAUAGCGAGACAAGCCAGUAUAGGGCUAAGAGGGGUCCGCAUCUGAUUUUACCCUAUUAAGUAGCAGAAUAAGAGACUGUGUUUUACCCUAUAUGUAUAAGAAUAAGAGACUGUGUAUAAGGGCCGAGAUAAGGGAAUGCCGGGCAGGAGCUCUAGUUUGAUUCUGAUCUUAGUACCAGGGGAAGCGGCAGGGAAUCGGUGGUCUAGUUAAAAGACUUCAACAACUACCCGCCAAGUCAGUCAACUAAGUCAACCAGCCUCCCCUACCCAUACGCUGCACCCCUAAUAGAUUGAUUCGAUAGUGGAUUCGGACUUAUACGAUGAAACGGAAACUCCUUUCUUAGUGUUUGUAUGCGCAGGUGCUGCCAAGUUGUUAAUUCUUAAAGGAAGGAGCACUAACUAGGUGGGUUGGCAAGAUAGAGUGGAAUUCCUAGUUGAUAGUUGGAUUCUUAUACUCGAUUUUUAGGUAAGUAAACUCUAUUCUUAAAUGAAGGAGCACUAGAUGAGUUGCCUUAAUCUAUUAUACCCCUUUUCUCAGGCAUCUUUUCUUAUAGAUGAAACAAAAACUGGGCAUUCUUUGGCUUUCUCUCCUGCUUACUUACCUGAUACGGCUGAUUCUCGAUACUAUCAAGUUUGAAUUGAGUCUCCAUCUUAUCUCGCAUUAACCCGCGUAGUCAAAACAAUAGAAAGGAAAACGGAAAUGGACAAAUAUGGAACUCACCCCAUUGAAAUAGGAAUUGAGCAGUGAAGGAAAAGAUCUUAGCACAGAAGUCAGAUCUAAAGCCAUUAAUAAAGUCAGCAGCAAGACCGGAAAGUUUAGAGUAAGGAGUUACCGCUUCCACUGUUGGGCAUUCCGUCUCUUCUUAUGAUUCUUCCCUUGCGUUUCCCUAGAUUCUAAGUUAACAGUCAGUUCCCUUGCGCUUCCCUAGAUUCUAAGUUAACAGUCAGUUCCCUUGCGUUAACGGAGUGUAGUGGCGUGGGCAGUAUAGAUGAUAUUCUUUCUUCUCUUUUAGUCAAGCACAAUAAAGUCAAUAGAUGCUUCAUACUCGCCCCACUUAGUCGUUUGAGAAGCAGUCUCGUAUCUCGUCCGUUUAAAGUCUCUACGAUAGUGUAACGUUGAAAGAACAAGAAGCUAUGGCGAAGGAAAAGUCCGGUCAGAGUGUGGACCCGUCUGGUCUCUUAUAGAGAGAGCUUACAGUAUAUCCCAAGGAAAACGAUCUUAAAGGACUUAAUGUUCAUGACCGACUAUAGUAAGGUUGUUGUCCCGGUCCUACUCGAUCUCAAGUAUCCCGAGUCUUGAGAGGGGUGGGUGCCCUAGGUAAGUCGGUUGAGGGAGGUGCUCUUCUUGCUCUUGUCUUUCUUGCCUUACAACAAUAAGCCUCCACCUCUAGGCCCGGCUUCUACUUGCAUGUUUAAAGCAUAUAGCUAGCCUUCUUUAUCUACGCAAUUUCUCUCAGUAGUUGUGUAUUGUCCGCUUGCCGAUCCAUGUAAAGACUCAACACUAGAAACUCUCGGGCGAUGACAUGCACUGGAUUGAUUGCCUGGCCCUAUAAUAUAUCGGUUAUCGGUUGGAGAUGCCUUAUGGGUUAUCGGUUGGAGAUGCCUUAUGGGUUGAAUCAAAGCAAAGGGGACUCGCUUCUCCUGAGUGAAAGCUAGACAGCAGAAGAACAAGUCAACCGGGCGUUAGCAACGCCAAGAACCUAUCUUGUAGACAACAAAGACAUCUUACUCGCGCCAAUCAUCGAACAUAGACUUGACUAGCACUAAACUAUCCUUUCAACACCACCGAUUGCUGCUGCCAAGAAGGCAAAGUGCGCCACAAGAACCUCUAUCGUACGAUUGACAAGCACCCGACCCUACAUCAAAAGUGGGAUGGAUUUCAGAUCUGGAGCUCCUACUUAUUCUCUUGAUCGCACACAUCUUGGUUAAGGCUAUACUGGGCGAGAUCCACUUGUUUUAUCUGAAUCCGCAUUAAGUAAGUAGGCGAGGGGAGCUCACUUUCUACUCUUCCUUGAAACAGUUUAUGCUGCUGAAGAUUCCUUUAGUCUUAACUCGCACACAAAGAAACUCUAUAGCUUGUUUCGACACCUCGCUGAAGAAGGACGGCUCUUAGACCACACUGCUUAUCAGUCCUUUCCCUUGACUCUCCACUGUCGGAAGAAUUCCUUGAAUCUUUAUGACCCUAGUGAAGUAAUAUUACCAGACUCAACUUGCUUCUUUCAACUAGGAAUGAAUGGAACUACUUCUGUUAGCACCGAGUAAACCUAUACAUAGCCUUUCUUUCGAGCUUAGCGCCCUCACUUCCAGAGAUCUUAUCUUAGUCCAGUCCAAGAACCUAACUAUCUCAUAGACAAGGAGCGUCAGCGAGAAAAGAAAACAAACAAAUGUAAUAAUCAGCAAACGAGGGAACUCGCACCAAAAGAGAAAAGUAUGAGGUAAAAGGAGCUACCUCUGGUCGGCUUCUUAGAAAACGGAAUUUCUAUAGGAGAAAAGUGGACUGGGAUGAAACUACAAUGAAAGUAUUAUUUCCUUCUCCCAAAGUGGACUGGGAUGAAACUACAAUGAAAGUAUUAUUUCCUUCUCCUUACCGCUUGCUACUGACGUGAGAGAGUUUUUGAGGUUGAAACUAGCUGUGAGGUUAGAGUCGAGUCGGUUGUCCUAGAGAGUGCUUUGACUAUCUUAUCUAUAUGGUUAUGAGUAAAGUAAGGGGUCAGAUGCUAUGGUUGGUUACCAAUAUCUAUCAUACAUAGCGAGUGGGGAACUCUAAUGAUUCUGUUUCUUAUACAUCUUAUGAUCCUGAACCAGUAGAUGAUCCAGCUCUUUCCCCUGCUGUAGACUAGACUCGAGAAGAAUCAUAUGAAUAAGCUGCAAUGAAAGUCUAGUUCGGGGAAGUCAAGUGAAGAGAAAAAAGAUAGUACGAGUAGCAGCUGGGUACUGACAUUUUGUAGACGUGGUUCGGUUAUUGGCGCUUGUGAGGUCAUCUGCAAUAUACGAGUCUCCUCUUUGAAUCGUUAAGAUAAUCUCAUCUCGAAUCGAAUGACCAACUACGUCCUUUCUUCGUCGGCGAGCGGAAGUUGGUUAGUUACCCUCUGAUUCUCUAUUUCUAUUAGACCCCUGAUGAUAGAUUGAGGUUACUACAUAGGGUCAGAUGAUAGAUUGAAGUUACUAGUAAUAAGAAUUCCACUCGAAAGCGCCAGCAAGCCAGAAUGAAACUAUACUUUAGAAUAGGGUUAGAGUUAGAUAUAGCACAUAUAGAUUCAUAAAGGAAUUGAUCCAGAAUGAAUAAAGGAAUUGAUCGAGAAGCAGAAAAAGCACAGAAAAAGAAGAAUUUCUCAGAGGUAUCAUUCUUAUGGAUAUGGGCAACCCCCGCUGUGUUCUUUCUCACCUACCCCCGUAGUGUUCUUUCUCACCUACCCACCUAAGUGCUCUUUGUUAGUGCCCCACCUCGACUUGUUGAACCGGUUUCCGCUUCUUACAGGAGAUGCUGCUGUAUCCAGGAGAAAGUACUGGUGCGCGGGCAGAGCAAGCAAGUUCCAUUACUAGUGUUGGCGCUGCAGAAUCCAAAGAAUGAUUAUGGUUCCCCUAUUGUUCCCAGCCUAGGUAUGAUAUCUAUUGGUAACUCCCUAAUGCUCUUUCUUGAAAGUGACUGAGGACUGCCGCAACGUAGUGGAAUUCUGUUUCUUCAUAUUCCGCUCCCGCUUCUAAAACUGGAACUUUACACUAGUAUUAGAAAGUAGAAAGUUGAAGCAUAAGCGGCACCCUCAACCGAGACUCUUUUCUUCCUUCCCGCUACAGGCAAACAAGAAUGGAAAUUGUGCCCCAACUCUGUCAACUCGGACAGGACUCCUUCUUUCCUAGCGCCAAAGCAUCCUCGUACGGAUAUAAGGAUUUUGUAUACUAAGAUUCUUUUCCGCCUUACCCUUAAGGAGUUUGGUUACGAAGUUCUAUACUAACCCAAUGAACGCUAAGCUAGAUGAAACUGCAUUUCCAUUCUCACUUUUGUGGUGACAGUUCUCUUCUUCCAUUCCAUUCUUUUGAACGGGCGCUAAGGUCAAGCCAAGAGCAGCCCCGCGUACCGCUUCAGAUCCUUCAACUAGUGAUUCUCUUGUCGAUGUCAACUUAACAAGCAAUACCUUCUCUUGCAAACAUGAAUAAGUCUGGAUCAGUAGGGCCCGGAAUAUCUCUUCUACCCAAAUCCAGAAUUGUUGAUAGCGUGUGUUCCUCAUAUAGAGCAUUUUGUAACCAGAGCACCCAUUCUUAUUUGAGGACUCCUAACUCACCGCUUUGCUUCCGGACUCCUCUCAGGACUUGAGACUUCGAUGGGCAUUCGCAAAUAGAUGAUCUUCACGAGAAAACUCGCAAUGAAAGUCAACUGUCUAUUACACCCAACCUUUGCUUAGUCUUGGGCGCUGGCUGGCAACUUUCAGAAGAGCUCUCAAAACAGGACUUGAACUUGCUUGCUAUGAAACAGAAACAAGGGGAUCGGAUUGCUUUUUGACUUUGGAAUGGCAACGCAACAAAUACUACAUUUCCAGAUAAAGCAGAAGAUCUCGUUGCCUAUGCUCGUGCUCGAACAUAACUAGACUACUACUACUCGGUCGGUGCUUGAUAAGGCCAUAAUCAAGGUGUUUGUUGUUUAAGGGCGGGCAAGAAGACAGACGGUUGCGGUCAACUUCUCCAAUAUGGAAUUAGCUAUAAGAGGAGUGGCACAGAGGUUUUAUGACUCCAAAUCCAGGGGUUUAUAGUCUUUCCAGAGUAGUGAUCGGGAACACUUGCUGCUAUGUGUUUGUCGUAGUUACUUGGCUUAACUCUUCUAUUCAACAAACAAGGGUAGCUAGAUUCAAUGAGAGAAGCAAGGCUCGGGCGGAAUCGGAUUCUUCUUCAGCCUACGGGCUGGCUCUAUACACAUACAAUAAGGGCUAUACACAUACAAUAUAAGAAAAAGCAAGUAUAACCUUUUCACUUCACCCUUCCUUCUUUCCUCAACGGAGACUCUGGCUUCAUAAGAGCGGCUGUAAUUGAGAUCCGGAGAUGGAAGAUUCAUAGAAGACGACUAAACCUCAGAGGAUGUUGGAACUGCUUAUGGCCUUCCGAACAGUUCAUCGGAGCCAGUGAAAACAGGAACUCCCGAGCUAGUGGUUCUUCCUAUCUUGAUCUUGGUCCCUACCUCGCGGAAAUGCUAAGAUGAAAGAUAAGAUGUGUGAUCUCCUACCAUACGAUAUCUUACUGAAUCUUGAAGCAAGCAUUAGUCCUGAAUUGAAUCCCCUAUUCGAAUGCGAAGUGUGUGUGUUGAGAUAUCUGUUAAGCCAAGGAGUGGAGUUUCGGAACCGCCUAACUCUUCUUCUAUAGCAGCGCAAUGCUUUUUCAAGUAGGCGUGCCAAUCCUUAGCAACAUGAUCUAACUCUGCUAUAAUGACAGGGGCGAGUUACGAGCUUAUGUACUCCAUUCGUACGUAAUUACGCCUUUCCUUUCUUUGUGUGGUUAUAGUUAUAGAGACAUUUCAUAGCAGGUGCCCCAAUGCAUAAGUUUUCCAUAUCUGGGAUGAAGACGUGGUGGCUUACUCGGCAGGAGCGGAGCAUCUUACACAGGCGUCUUUGGUUCUGUAUGUACCAGUCUACACGUCUCGAAAUGAGAAUUCCAUGGCUUGGAUUUAUACUCUUCGCUCCGUAUCCCAUAGAUGAUAAAGAGACUAUGAAUGCUAGUAUCGGUUGACAACAUGUAAAUAAUGAAAGUGUGCUAUCUCUCAGUUCCGAAGUAGUCCCGGACUGGGCAUUUUCCAAUCAAAUAGAAGUUAGCGGUUUCGAAGUCGAAGCUCUCCACCACGGUUGCGAACCUAAGCUCUGAGACCUAUCUGACGCAGAGAGAUCUGGUUGAAAGAACCAAACUUCGAGCGGUUUCAUAUAGGCUUCCAUCAACAAGGCUGAAAAACGACUUAGAAAGAAACUUCAUUUCCAAAACUAGAGAAUAUAAGAUGUCUGUUUUUCAAAGAUGCUGUAGUUUGCUCCAUUAGAUAGAUUCAUAGUGACAUAACAUAUAGCUUCCUUGUUCGUAGACAAAGCGGAUUCUCCAUUAGAUUGAAUUUGAUAGCAGAACUAGUAUGCAUGCCAUGCGCUUCAUAUCCGCGUAGAGCUCGCUCCAAGAAAGAUAGCCUUCCUUCCCUAGCCCACCAUAGUCAAUAAUCCCACAAGCUUCUUGUCCAUUCUCAUUCGAUCAGUGGAGCAAGUAAAAGAAUCACAGUUGGGAUAAUAAGGCUCGAACUUAUGACUUCCACCACGUCAAGGUUACACUAUACCGCUGAGUUCUAUCGCUUACCUUGCCCUCAUCGAGAAAUAGAAAGGAAAAACCCUAAUAGAGAAAUAGAACUUACUAAUCCAAUCCGGGUCGAGAAAGUGAAGGCAACUCGAACAACUUGGAGUCGGGCCGCGCUAUUACUGAUAUGCAAAUAAAUAGAGAAUGAGAUUCAAUUGGAAACUGCUCCUAUAGCCAUUAGGAUUUCAUACUGAUUCGAGCCAUAGCACAUGCUUUCAGAAAAGCCUAUGAUCUUCCCUAAAGAAAUCAAGAAAGAAAGCAAGACAAGAGAAAUCAAGAAAGAAAGCAAGCGGUUUUGACAUGAAGAAGAUUUGGCGCAGCAUCUUAUAUUCGAUAUGGGUAGGACAGGACUCUUAUUCCUUCAAAUAAUAGAGAAAUAAGAAGGAAGUCAAUAAAUAUGAUAGAGGCAGAUAAAAAGAUCUUACCAUUUCCGAAGCAACUGUAGUUUGAUCUCCUUUCCAUUUCUAUUCCAAAGUGAUUCUGUCUUUCCACGCCCACCCAGACUCCCUUUCUUUUUCUUAGGCAAACAUAGAAUCUUCGUAACCAAAAAAAGGAUAAGGGUCAGCAAGUAUACCAUUGAAACUAUUGAAGGUAAGUCCACCAUUGACUAGUGAAGGUAAGCCCACCAUUAAGACGAGCAGAGCCCCCAUUAAGACGACGACCAGAGCAGAGCCCCCAUGGAUGGAUAUGGAACAUGCAAACAAGUAAAUAAUCAGAGCUUGUUUUGUUCCCCGGAUCUGUUUACUAGUUUGUGUUACCUGUUCCUAAAACAUGGAUUUCAAGCAUCUUUCCAGUAGUGCGCCUAGCUAGCUAACAAAGCCUUUAAAGGCAGUAUAGUGUAGACGCAGACUUGACUUUAAGUGAGUUCUUGUUGUUGAGUUGAGUUUCUAGAAGGGCUGACAGUGUUGGUACUCAAUUCCAUAUUGGGAUAGCUCUCUUCACUUCAACGAGCAAGGGCGGAAACUCUCUUAGGUGCCCAUCUUCAACAAGCAAGGGCGAAAGAACAAGCUUAUUCUUAUAUUGUUCCGUUCCGCGUUAGCACUUACUCUCCCCCGCUUGAGUCAAGAAAUGAGCUAGCUGUGGAAUAGGUUUCAAUGAGAUCACCAUUUGAGGAAAUUCUGUCUGAUAAGAGCAAGGAAUGAAUGAAGACUGUCCGAGAAGUCAAACUGAUGUUCGCAGCCCCCACCAUUAAGAAAAAUGCCCUCCCUACUGAGUCUGGGCCCUGUCUCAGUCCCUCCGCCAAACUGUUGCAAAGCUUUCACUCUACCAGAGUUGCAAGAAUAGUGGAAAGAGAAGCAUACAACAAAAUAGGGAUAACGGGCGAAGAAUGGAUAUAUAUAAUAAGUAUAAGAUCAUAAUAAGUAUAAGAUCGAGUGUAUUCAUCAAACGGAAGAUAUAUAAGUGUAAGAUCGAGAGCAAGGGAACAAGCAAGGACGUAAAACCUUGUGCUGUGCUAACGGUAGUUCAUGCGGGCGGGUAAGGGUCAACAGGAAAUAUUCAUAUUAUUUAUUAGCAACAACAGGGCUCUCUUUCUUUCUUUCUAGGGUUUCAGAGAAAAGCAAUAGAGCUUAUAGGCAGAAAUAGAUUAGAAGAGCCAGCCGAUGGGUAGGGAUGGAUUUGCUAUUAUAGCACAUAGUUCAACAUAGGUUCAACAACUCUAAGAAGCUUUCUGAAGCCCCUUGUAGUGGUCGACCUCUGCUUAUAACCAAGUCCUUUCUUUGGUAUUCGCCCGUCUUCAUCAACUAAGGUGAGAGUGAGAGUUGUAGCAUUUCUAGGAUACGGAUCUUAAAUAGGUAGUACAGAAUCUUUAGCUGUGUCAGUAACAGUAGAAGAGGCAAAAUCCAAGUAAGGAUCCGGGGGGAUCUAAAGCAGAAUCCGUCUUGUUCCACGCCCCCUAUCCCUAUAAGAAUAUUAAGGUUACCAACCCCCCCCGCUCGCUAACGCCAUGACGAACACGGGAAGUGCUCUCUGAACCAACCCAGCCAGUAGGUGCUCAAUUCUUCCAUUUCAUAUUUCAGGAUUUCCCGCCUUACCACAUUUCAUAAUUGAGUUUCCUCUGCGCAAGUUCAGAAGCCAGGGAAGACAUAGAACUAAUGGAAUUGCAAACAUAACAUAUGAAUUCAGUGCGAAGAAAGUCUACUCGAUUUGAAGCAACAGCGGAUAUUAUUUAGGCCAGAGUGGGAAUAAUAUCUGAUGCCGAAGCCGAAGAUGGAAAGUAGAUAAGAUCGGUAGCUGGAGAAUAGGCGGGAUUAGAGGCAAGAUCUUUAGCUGGAGCCGAAUCGAAAUGUAAGUGGGAAGUUGACAAUCGGUUCCUAAAGUGGAGUUAUACUUGCAUCCCGAGUGGAAUAAGAAUAAGAGGCAAAAGCGGAAGCUGGUAAUUAAGAGGUAAAGUCUCAAGCAUAAGAUGGAGCAGGCCCAAACUCAGGCGGGAAGGGAAAUGAAUGAGUUGCACUCUAAAGAUGAAAUUCAGUAUUAGCUGACUCUAAGCUCGAAAGAUCCGAUCCGUAUUUGCAAGAGGGCGAGCUAGGUAUUCCAUUACUGUUUUCCUUGGUGCUCGAUAAUCAAUGAAUUCUUUUCCUGGGUGACUCGGUGCACUAUAAUCAAGAGAUGGUUUGCAUUCUUAGUUGACUUCAGCGUUAAGUCAUGCCAGGUAGUACUGGUAGUACUGGGCAACUGGGCUCCCAAAAACAGGACUUGGCAGACUUGCUCAUAAAGGAGACAAGCCACAACUUUGCAACUACUAUACAAGGUUGGUGAUAAGUAUCUUUCUGUUCGGACCUUUCAUCCUAGUCGACUCGAAUGGACUGUUCGCCUAAUUUAUGGAAUGCUCAUCUACGUUGGUAAAGUCUCAAAGAGGAGUAGCGCGGGUCAUCUGCUAACGGUUAUUAUAGUUUAGUUCGAGGAAGAAUCAUCCGGCUAAGGAUCUUUAUAUAUGCGAUAUAUGCGUCCCCUAUCCUCACUACACUAGAUUAUAUGAGCAACGGCCUGCCUAUCUGAAAUUGAUUCUUUGACUUUCUUUCCAGCGAGGUUAAGAAUGACAUAGAAUUUAUGGAGCACAUGGUAAAGAAUAGAAGAAAUACACCGAAAACAGGACUUGCACCUGGAACUCGAACUGCGGAUGAAGAUCUUGGCACUCAUUCUUAUCCUUAUUAAGAUCCAAUCCGAUUAUUCUUAUGACCUAAAUCCAUACCCGGGCUCCUUAUCUUGUUCUCUUGCACCACUUUCCCUUGACCUAGCUGCUUUCCUUUCCGACCCUCCUUUUUUCUGUGAGGACCCGCUUGCUGAUAAUAAUGGAACUGCAACACCUCCACUCCAACACACACCUCUAAGUUAUUCUUAUUACCCGUUUCUUCUAUACUAACCUUGCAUGAAAUAAGUGUGGCGCUACUUACUUUAUACUCUGGACUGGAAACAGAAUAUUCCGUUACUGCUACUUCGGAUUAAGAUCCUUAUUCUUCUCCUGAUCUAUAUUCAGAUCUUCACUUUAGAACUAUUCUUUCUUACACUUAGACACAAGCAAGACAAACUGCAUUAAUUGCCUUAACCGCUACAUGGGCAGUAUAGAAAAAACAUUCUUUCUAUGUUCAACAUUCAUCCCAUUCUGACUCGAGCACCUGGCAUAGAUUUUGGUAAAGACACAGAUCCUGCCUUCUGUUAACACGGAUUACUUGAGAACUGAGCUUGCUGGCAUGAAUUAAGGGCACCAAAGAAAGGACAAAUUCAUUAAGGGCAACCCGACCCUACAUCCACUGUUUUAUGUCUUUCCCGCUACGCUGACUUUCUGUAAUUCCAUAAAAUAAGUGAAGUAAGGUUACACAACUUCUAUAACGGAACAGGUGUGCACCUACCCAGUAUCAAGUGUUGUUUCAGUUUGAAGAGCAGUAUCGAAUAAGUCAGCUAGAACAGUAUCCAUUGCUGUGCUAAGGUCGUUUACCGCUAUAAACACGGAUUUUCUACUUGGUGUUGCUCUCUUUUUGACCCUUAAACAACAAGGAUAGAGAAAUCAUUCUUUUAGUUCAUAAGUCCACCACCCUACCUGGCGUACCACACCUGAAUGAAACAAGUCAGUUGGAAACCCGGUCUCCAAGAUAAGAUCAAUUAUAGGCUUAGAUGGGCAGGCAAGAGAAGCUAUAAAAGGUUAGUUUACCCUGAAACAAGUAGUGAGUGGUGCCAGUUCCGGUUUACUGUUUAGUAGAUUCAUAAAGGGCCAAGUAACUACUAUACAAAUGUUACGCAUCAGUGACACUACCAUAAGAAUCAAGUCAAUACCACCGGGCAUCCACAUCUGUAUUUGCCAUAUCCAGGCCUUUCUCUUUUUCACGGAACUCUGCCUCCCAGUUUAGGGUAUAAAGUAUUACCUGUUUACUUUGAUUCUUUAUUUGAAGCUUUGGCCCGGCACUGCUUCCUGGUAUUCUCUCUACCUCGGCUUCUAGCCUGUCCCCCUUUCCGUUAGUCCUACUAUCUCUCAUUGCGGGGUGCAGUUGUGCAUUCUACAAUUAUGAUAAGAGAAUAGAGAAGUUACAAACCGAACUCUAAUAACGUGGGGAAUAAUCCUUAAUUUACAUAACCCAAAGCAUGGAAUGAAAGCGCGUAGUGCUGGAGUUAAAGAGGUGAACUUCAGAAUCCAAGUAGGGGUCGGCAGCUUUGAUUGAGGUGGGUAAGGUCGCAUAGUAGUCAAUUUCUUAUUAGCCCCAGUGCCAGUAUCAUAUGCCCUAGAGUUCAAUCUUAUAGUUAGUAGACGAAGUGCUAGUUCCGAGUGCAAAUCUAUAUAUUCCCAGUUCCAUUCCAUUGGGGCGUAGGCUUGAAGCACCCGCUUGGCGGUUGGAGUCCUGUUGUUACUGAUUUCAUUCUUGCCAUGACUGCUUGCAUUCUUGUUAGCCCUUCCUUCAUUACCAGUCCCGAGUUCGGGUAUUGUUAGCACUAGUGGAUUUCUUUACUAUAAGAUUCAGUAUUCAAAUGCACUAUUUCAGGAUUAAAACAAAGGUAUUAAGAAUAGGAGCCAGCAAGGAAAGGCUUUUAAGCACUAUUACAAGUCCGGGAAGCACUGGCUGGAGAAUAAGAUAAAGCAAAGUAGGCUUAGACUACUACGUGGCAGGCCGAUAGAAGGUUCAAGUCAGAGUUUGGUUAAAGCCCCGAUCCCAGCAAGUAAGGAUCAGAGACAUGAAAGAUAGGCUAAGAUGGACGAGUUGAAGAGCCAGAGAAGGGUAGCUCUGUUUAUCAAACCGAGUAAAGGCUGCUUUUAGGUUAGUAGUGCUUGUUUGAAAGCAUGGAGUUUCAGAACCAAGGGCUGUAGCAAAAGUGCAAGUUCCGAGCUAAGGUCUUAUCGGAGAGUAGACUUUCAGCACCUUGUUAUGAGCUAAGGUCUUUGCUGUAGUAGCUGAGUUCGUUAAUGCAGUGUUCUAUUCUGUUUCUUGGAAUUGAAAUGAGCAGGCAUCCUGAAGAUACUAGUGAGUGGAAUGGGAAGGGCAAGUCAAAGAAAGAAAGGUAGGCUGGAUCAGAUAGUGCCACACAAAUAGAUAUUAUUAUAGGCAUAGUGAUAAGAAGAAAUAGUAGUAGUGAUAAGAAUCAAUGCCAGGAGAAAGCAAGAUCAAUAAACUCGGGAACCCAACUCAACAGCAAGAAUGAAUGAUACCAAUAGCGAACAGGAGCGAGCAGGCAGGACCUUUCCACUGGAACAUAGAACCUAGACUCGACACCGAAGUACAAUAAUGAUACUAGUGCUCCCAAGCGACUCUAAUCUAAUCUAAUACAAAAGAUCGAACUCAGUAGCACAAGAACCAAGCGAGUAAGCCCUAAAGAAUGAGAAGACGCAACUAAAGACUUCAAACAAGAAAGUAGGAAUGCAAGGACUUACCAUUAAAGAAGAAAUACGCUAGUGGAAGGAUAAGAGGGGGACUCUUACUUAUAUAGGGGUAAGGCUAAGAAUAAUAAGCCGAAGAAUGAACCUAAAAAGUAGUUGUGACCUAAACACAUAAGUGAGCCUUCUACCCCCAACUACAAAACUACCAUUCCUGGCUUUUUCGUCUUAAUAUCCUAUCCCUUGGUCUGCCUCUCCUUCAUCCAAUCCUUAACUCGAAACUCAGAAUGGGGCUAUCAACAAAGAAAUUCUAUCCUAUCUUGUAAACCUAGCACUAGUAGUAACGUCAGAAUCAAAGACAUAGGUCUGAACUCCACUUUCAAGUCCAGUAGGCGAGUAAUAUGUCGUGUAUUAACGUAUGAGAAUGGAACCAGUGUUAUCAAGGAUGCACCUACUGCGGACUGCGACUGCUGUCUACUAAUCUGCUCCGACUCACUUUUCUUCUUUAAGUACUGGAAUGGAACCUUGAAAUGCCCACGAGACUAUAGCUACGUUUUCACUCUCCGCGUUGCCCCUUCUUAUUCUUAGCCCCACCUGCAAACUCAAACUACCAAUAACAAAGAAGAAAUCUACGGAUAAUAGGAAUUGAGCUGUCCAACUAGGAAUAUAAGGAUUUGCACUCAAGGAUAACUACUAAGUAUAAGAUAUUAGUGGAAGACCAGGAUACCAAGAAGAGUUUACUAAUACAAAUAAUAAGGGUACUCAUGGAAAACAGUAGACUAAUGAGUAUACAAAUAAUAAUAGGGUCAGAAGUAUACUAAGGCGAGUCAUGUGGUAAGAAGAAUAAGAAGAGGUCGGUGCUCUAGCUACAAGUACGGGUUUGCUCGGAUGCCAAGAAAAAUGGGUAUAGUAUAUAACGGAUAAAGGGAUAUAGUAUAUCACUUUGGUAAUUAUCAAUCUCUUCUUUUCUUCCGCGAAAGGUGGAGGUCGGUUCUUCAAAUGGAGGAAAUCAAAGGGUAGAGUUAAGAUCGGGAGUAGAAUAAAGCCCCUAUUCCAUAUUGCUUGUCUAAAAUCCUUCUCCAGCUCCGGAUCUCGUCGACAACAAACACUGGCACUCUUCAAUGAUUACUUGCACGGGUUAGGAAUAAAGGGAAUCAAGAUCAUAAGCAAGCAGUAUCUUCACUCUUUUCUAUUAACAGGUGUGGUGAUGGAAAUACAUCAUGAAAUUCUUAACUUCAAGGUGGAGGCCGGGAAUAGGUCACAAUCUAUAAAAGUGGUCUAAAUUCAUGGCAGUUUCAUUCGGACUUCUUUUUGAAAUGAUUAGGGUUCCGCAUUAAAACAAGAGUAUUGACUGUUGCAAUAUCAAGGUAAGGGUGGGUUAGUUCCUUCUGUAGCGGUAAGGGUAAGUAGCAAAAGAAUUUCUAUUGAGUUGGUGUAGGAACAUAUAUUGAGUUAGACUAGGGAUAUACGGGAGUAGGAACCAUAUCAGUAGUGUUGCUAAGUAAAGGUUAGUUUACCCACCUGGCCCGGAGACAAAGUCAGCAAGCUUUAGAGUUCUGUUAGGUUCGACACUUCUCUCAGUUGCGCACUUUCUUUCUAAUUCCAUGAUGAAACCUACCUAUGCUCUUUGGAGAACCUACCCAUCUAUAAUGUUGACUCAUAUAAGAUAAUGUUUGAACAAACAACAAGGGAAAUAUUAUGUCAAUGAAAUGAAGCGGGAGCCUGCCUCAAGCAAGCAGGAGUUCAAACUCAUAAUGGUGCAAGAGCAAGCACAAGGGCGCCUGUAGAUACAACGAUAACACGGGGCCCACCUUCGCCUUAGUGCAUUAGUUUCGGUGAUUUUGAAGAAGGUUGGUUUUUACAAAUUCUCAUAUUUGGUGGUGUGUGCGCAUCUCAAUUCUCUUCUUUUGACUUUUCUCAGAAGUACAGUAGUAACUUGCCUAUUACAGUGUAGUAAAAGGUCUUGUCAGUUGCUUGCCUCUAAUCAGUAUUAGUUUAUUUCCGACUUUUGAGUUUCGUUCCGAUGUUGGUAUUGGUUAAAAAGCAUUGGUACCCAGACAGUAAUUCCUUAUUAGAAGAUAUUGGUUUGCUUACCGUACCGAGUUAUGAGUAGAAGGCUACUAGUUUCAAUACUGACUUUCAGCAAGGAGUGGUUUCUAGCUUAGUUUAUGCUUUAUUCUAAUUGGAGUUCUUAUCACUACUACUACAAGCUUACUACUUGCUGCUACUACUAUAGAGGGUCAGAGAUAUCAGUAUUAGAGCUACUCAUCAGUAUUGCUACUCCGGAAAGACAGAAGGAAAUGGAAGACCAGCGGUAGUUUUCGUUUGGAAACAAGGAAUAGAAGAGUGGGCAAGUAACUGCUAGAUUAGCAAGUAAGGGGAGACUUAGAUGCCCGGGUUCCAGUCUAUGGUAGCCACGUUCAGAAGAAUCCAAAUCAUCAGUUACAGGGAAUCGAAGAGGCAAAUAGGAGACUAUAAGCAAGGCGGUGCAGGCUCGGAAGUAUUAGUGUCAGGCUAGGCUCCCUUUCUUUUGGUGGAAGCUAAGAGAAAGUAAUGUCCUACUUCGAGUUGGGCCAGUAGCUCCUAGCAAUCAAACAUAGGAAAUUCAAGUUCCAAAUGGAGAAUGUAAAUAAGCAGUGCCAGGCCAAAAGUGAGGAGCGGAAAGUGCCAGUUUCCUGUUCAAGUACGAGAAGCAGUAGUGUGAGGUCAAGAGUGAGGGUAGUUAGCCUCGGGAUCAGUAGCUCAAUUCCUAUAGUAGUUAGUUCACUUCCUAAUUAGAGUCAAGCAAGGGCUUUCUAAGGGAAAGGUCAAGUCUAAAGGUAGGUAAAGAUUACAGGGCGUCCAAAGAAUUUCCACUUGUGAACAGUUCGUAUCGCAUUAACCGAUAAGUAGGACAGCCAAGAGAGUUGGUGUUCUGCUACCCUCAUUCUUUAGAGCGACAGUAAAGUAAACAAAUCAUUCAUUCGAGCUUACUUGAUAACUGAUCUUUCUUCUUAUCCUUCUAAUGCUUCCGUAUCUGUGUAAGAUGAAACUCGUACUGCUUCUUUAAACAAUGAAACUUGAGCAGAAGAAUAAGUUUGCAGCUCGCGCGCUAAGUGAAUCAGGGGAAUAAUCUCUUCGCGCGCUAAGUUAAUCAGUGUCAACAAGGUAUCUAGAAGCUGAAUGCGCGGGUAAGAUAAAUAGAGGUGUAGCUCUGUUAGCGAAACUUGACUUUAUUUACAAAACGGAAGACGAGAUAGUAGGGGAGCGCAUGAACAACAAGGCAAUCAAUAAGUCUGGACCAGUCAACUCGUAAACUUGACAAAAAGGCACACCCAUACCCUAAACUUACUGAGAGAAUGUAAAGACUCACUGUAGUACCCCUAAACUAUCCAGUCAUCAUUUCAAUUAAUCUCUGCUGCUGACUGACUUUAGACUUAUGCAUUCGAUUCAAUAGGAGAUUCGGCUUCCUUUCCUUACUAUUAAUCUACUGCCGGAUCUUAUUAUGCUCAAGUUUGUUCUCUCGCUGACAAUACUCGAACAGGACAUUCUCCACUGUAAACUAGAACAGUCCAUUCUGCUGCUGGCAAGUGCUACUUACGGAUAAGAAAGUGAGUUACAGAGUUAUAUUAGUAAUAAGAUAAAUAAGAGACAGGCUGGACUCUAUACUAGAAGAUACCGAUACCGACCGCGCUGAAGAAGGCAAUAAUCCAGGCGGCUGUAAACCCGUAUUUUGAGUCUACAGAUCGAUCUCUGUGAAACUCUGAUGAUGGCUAAUGUACUACAGGCGGAAGGGAAGUUUCGUUUGAAAGUAUGGUUUAGGGUGUUUCAGAAGAAUCCACAGUUACUGGCGAGGAAGCUAUAAGUAAAGAAGUGUGUUCGUCCACUUGUUUUCGUUCCUUCCCCCCUUCACUAAAAAGUAAGUAUCAUUACCCUACCUACAAAGGGAGAUUGCAUGUUGAUAACUGAGGAUGGCAAUCUGUUGAUGAAAUGGACUGCUGUAGUUCAUGCUUCUACCCAUAGAUGCUUUGGUACUCAAUCUCAUAAAAGUCAAAGCCAAGCCAUAUAUAAUAGAUAUGAAUACUAGAUUGAUAGAGAUGAAUACAGGAGUGAGAUAGUUAGAUAUUCAUACAAUUCUCAGGAGUAAGAUAGUUAGAUAUUCAUACAAUUCUAUAGUGAAUUGUAAAACGAGUACAGUCAUCCAUAAGCAUUGCAUUGUAGUGAAAACGUUUCUUAGAAGCAAGCGGGGCAGGGCAGGAAUUUUCCAUAAGGGUAUCAUCGUAUAUCAUCUUUCUUGAAAUAAGGGUAUCAUCGUAUAUCAUCUUUCUUAUCAUUAAGAGAAAAAGGCGACAACAGAGGCACGGCACUUCUUACAACUAGCACAAAGAGAGAGGGCUUGAUGAACCAUAGAAGGAUAUCCUCAUCCAUAUAAAGAGAUCUGUUUGUUUGUUAUAUAGAGAUCACAUUAACAUUUCUGUACUUUAUAAGUCUUUGAUUGAGGGUGACCAAGGGAAACUCCUUCAGGUGCCUUGCCGAACUUAAACUAGCGCUUGUUCACCUUUGUCUCGGGCAUAGAAAGCGUCCAUCCUACUCUACUCCCGGUUGCCGGAAUCCAUCCUUGUCCUCUGCUCUGAUCCUUUGAUCAAUAAAUUCUACGAUGAGUGCAAAGAAAGAUGGUCGAUUUUCAGUAAGUUGAAAAGAGAUGGGUAGGUGGUUAGUUAACAGUAAGGUGGUUUGUUAGUGUUUCUAAACGGUUGUUAUUGCAGGAACAAAGAAAACAUCCUGUAAUUCCACAUUUACUGAACUUGUAGUCAAAGAAGCAUCACCCAUAUAAUAAAUACGUAAACCAGUGUACCAUAUAAUAAAUACGUAAACCAGAGUACCAUCACAACCUCAAUUCUCUUUUUCUUAUAGUAUAGGGUAGCUGAUUCAUAAUUCUGUAGGGAGCGCGGAUUCAUAAUGCAGAAAUUACCUGCUUUACGGAUUCCGAAUUCAGAGAUUACCCGCUUUAGUGGUCAUAUGAGCAGACGCACCAGUAUCGGUAUACUAGUAUAGUAGGGAUCCUGCGAAUCAGAGAGAGAGACAUAGCAUAGCAUAGCCGUCAAUGCUUGAUGGAUAUCUUGGCUUAGGACUGAGAAAAGGGUGGUUCCAAGAAGGCAAGGCAGCACAGUAUGCCCAAAAAGACCACAGAUCUGACAUAGAGUGUCAGCGCAGAACCCUUGGUCCUGAGAUUAGGCAUAUUACGCAAUACUUUUGCUGUGGUGAAGGCUAUAAAGGCUUUCUUUUCUCCCUUUAUUUCAACUGCGCCCUUAUUGAUGCAGGUUUAUAUCUUUUAUGGAAUGAAGGCCUAGAUCUCUCUGUAAAACAUGCAACGGCGCGACGAUCUGAAUUAAGCAAUGAUAUAGAAUCUUCAGAAUAAUCUUAUCUCUUCAGGAUAAUCUUCUAGGGUGGGGAAUCUGAGAACUUGCGAUGGGAUGAGCGCUCGAGCCUUCUAUAACUCAAGGAGGCAUUAGGCUCGAUGUUACGUUAGUUUCAUAGGCCCAAAGAAUCUCUGGACUGGCUCCAAGAUAAGGGGAAAGAAUACAUUUGAUAGUUUCAUAGAAGGUGUAUCUUUCUUAGCUUAGGGGAAAGCACUUCAAUCCUGAUGUCGCUCGUUAUGUGAAUGGACCCAAUCCAUGAUGAGUUAUAAUUAAACCAGAUGGCCUAUCUUUUCCAGAUGGCCUAUAUCUUUUUCAUGCUUACUGGAAGUAGGAAUAACUGACAAGCUACGUCGCCAUAACACUAGAAGAGAGCAGAGCACUAUUGAAGAAAAGAAAGGGACAAAGGUCGACAGAAGGUAAACCCAAGACUCAAUCACUACCAAUCAGUUCCCGAACACAGGACUUGUAACUUAUAUUGCAACACAUUUGUAUUAUAGGGUACGAUCUAGCACAGUAUAAGACUAGUCAUACUUAGAGUGGAAAGCGAGGGCGCGUCGAUAGUACUUCACUUUCAAGGGCUAGGCACUACGGAAGGCCAUUAUCAAGGUGAAGGUGAUGGGGGCAGGCCUCUUUCUAGUCUUUUCAUCCAUAUGAAGUUGCUAACGCCUUUGGUGUGUUAUCGAGUUCCGCUUCUUUUGCCCUAGCAAUCAAUAUAGUAGAGGAGCAGUUGGGACAAUAAUCCCUUUUUGCUCACUUUCACCCCUGUUCCACUCCUAUGAUAGCUAAUUGGUAGGGCACAGACAAUCUGACUCUUACAAGCUUUGAAACAUAAGUAUUCGAAAGUGAAUGACAGGCUUUGAAACAUAAGUAUUCGAAAGUGGCCAAGCAACUAGACAAGUUACUACUAAUGACCAAGUAGAAAGUGUAGUUGAAAGUAUAGUGGAGGGUGCCAGUACUGUUCGUGUUGUUGGCAAAGGAUCUUAACCAGUGUGGUAUGCCAUGCCAGCAGAGUGAAAAGAGCCAGAGUUACAAGAGCCUCAUUCUGUUAAUAGUAGCCAUCAAGAGUUCAAUCAAUAGUUAUACAAGCCAUUACUCUUUCUAUUACUCUUUCUAUUACUAAAUGGGGAGUAGCGGUAGGGGAACUAUACAAAUACAAUUUCUAUUCUAUCUUAUGGUAGCGGUACCUAUUCUAUAUUUAUAUGAAUUCUAAAAGGAAGGAAGAUAUUAUGUCCCUGCCCCGGAACUGUCUCUUUGAACUCUCCUAUUGCUCUUAUACCUAUGAAAACUCUCACUAUUGCUCUCUUCUCUUCUUGCCCCAAAUCAUUCAUUUUCUCUAUUCUAUCUCUUUCGCCCCUUACUUCUAUUAAGGCUGCUUGUAUUCUUCUUCCCUUAAUCCGUGUAGUGGGCUUCUUUCUUCUUUAUACGAUGACACUCAUUCACUUUGCGUUGCGCUUGCUGCUUCCUUUAGACUCUUCUCUUCCUUGAAACCUAACUGCUUAGCUGACUCCUGACUAAACUAGCAAGGACGCACUCAAACCUGCCAGCAAACUCAAGCUUCCAAUCGGAGCAACCCCUGCCCUGCGCCUCUAUUCUGACUUUCAGUAUGCAGUGUUGUUCUCCUAUAUGUGAUUGAUGUGUCAUGCAACAUUCUUUCUUUAUUGAUUUCUUUCCACAGGCUCCGUUCUCCUAUAGGAGAUAGCAAUUUCAUCCGUUCUUCCUAUAAAAGAUAGCAAUUAGAUCUAUGUCUCGAAUCAAAGCCAAUAAGAUCUGAUUAUCCUCCGCUAUUCGCAUAAGAUUGAAGAUAAGUGGGAAUGUUUUGAACUGAGAACUUGGGUAUAAGGGGAGUUGAAAGAGCAGACAGGACUAGUUUAUUGCAAGCUAACCUUAGCAACGGGGCCAAGUAACUGCGUUAGUUCAAUAAGUAUCCUUCCCUACCGGAGUUACAGAGCAAGCGGGUAUCUCGGCUCGGGCUAAACUCCAUUCUUUAGUGAAAUACUGGCUAUCUAUCCGGAGUUGUGGAAUCCCUUGUUUCAUCCUAUUAAUAAGCUCAUCUCUCUCUGAAAGCUCAUCUCUCUCUGAUGGAAUCAAAGGCGAAAGAACAAGCAGUGUAUUGGUCUAUUGAAUAUAAAUAGUCGGGUAAUUAGAGAGAGUCAGAAUCCAUGAAGUAUAGGUUUACUGGCUCUACUGCUCUCCCACCUGGAAUAAUUCUUUCGAAGGGGGAUGGGAGUCAAUACUUAGCGCUUAAGGGAAUCAAAUCAGAAAGUACUGGUGAGGCGCGUUGGUGCCGAGAAACAGGCUUCAACCUGAGCUACUAAGGCUACAACCAGUGCAUCUAAGACUAUAACGGUGUCUACUAAGGCUGAAACCACAGCUACCUAGCCUUCAACGAGGCAGUAUGGGAAUUGAGCUAGUCAGUAUGAGAAUCAAGCACCUAACAACUAGCCUGAAACCAGUGCUUCUAGGGUAGUAGAUCAGAAUUCACUCCUGUAGUUACAGAAUCAAACUAGCUACUAUGAUGCUCUAGUACUAUUAGUAAGCCUACCCUCCCUUUUAACCAUUCUAAUACCUGCUCUUUGAAUUCCAAUGUUCGCCUCAAAGUAUGCCUUGUUUAGGUCAGUCUUCUAUCUGCCGUCGCUGUCCAAGCUGCGUAUCCCUUACCUUAUUGCCUUACUUUCAAACUCAUGUCAUUACUAACAGGACUUUCACUACUGUCUCUAGCCUUGCUUUACAAGACCUAAAUCCUAUAUGUUUACCUACGACGAGACUCAACAUUCUGUUUCUAAGCCUUUAUAUUAUUCUUUAGUGAACCUACUAGCCUGCCCCCUUGUCUACUAAUACUUUUCAUACCGAUCAGGAUCUCCGCCUUGCUUCAUAUGAGCCUUGGUUUCAUGCUUUAACUACCCACUUGAGUAUUAUUACUUGUUAGCUUGAGCCUACCUCGCAUCUUUACUUGUUUAUUUCAUUAAAUAAUUAGAUAUUCAGUUCACAUAUAUAAUAUGGAUUAUUAUUCUCUUCUAUUUGAUUAGCGUCUAAAAAGUACAAUUCAUUUUCUCUUUUUACGGGUGCUCCUAUACAAAGGGUAUGCCAUGCGAUAAAAACUAUUAGAUCAAACUCCGCAGUCAAAUAAGAAAAGUACAAAUAAGGAAUAUCCAACAGCCAGUAGCAAUAAGGAAUCCAGCAGCCAAAGCCAAUUAUUUGUAUCAACCGUAGAGUCUUCUUUCUUCUCUAGAGAGCCUUCCUCCCGCUACCAACCAAGCCUUCUUGCGUGUAUCGACUACUAAGUAUUCCAUGCCUGCCUGCCUAGCUUUUCGUAAAAUCGGAUUGAUAUAAGAAUCAGAAUGGAGCUAGUGCUUCUUUAACUCGCUACCGCGUCAAGCAGCCCAAUAGCUCCUGCCGCGCUUUAACUCACUGGUUGAAGCCUUACUAACACAAGUUUCAGUCUGACGAAAACAUAUAUUGUAAUAACGGGAACUCUAGCGGCAGCGCCAUACUCUAAGCUAGACUCCUGACUCGCAUUCUUAUUGUUAGUUAAAGAAUAAUCCAACUCGAACCAAGACUGCGCCUGCUGCUGAUGGGACUAAACCUCUGUAUGGCAAACAAGAAUCUCCCUACUGGUAAACAGGCUUACUGUCCUUACUUCCAUUCUAAAUACGCUGGAAUCUACUAAUGCUCCUUACUUAUGAAAUUCCAGUUUGUGAGUUAGGGCCUGCCACUAUGGAAUCUGAUCCUUACUUAAUAGGCUUUUAGACUCAAACACGUAACUUAGACUUUGACUACUGCUCCUACUCUAUAUACUUGUUCUUAUACCUUCUUCUUCUUAUUAUUCUGAUUCUUGGAAGCUUUCCUGGCACUACGGAUUAUCGAACUGCCGAUUCAGGGUACCCUUACUUUUCGUCAACACCUUGAGACUUUCCUGCCUUUCUUAGUAACCUCAUCAGCAAUAGAGAUGAGCAUUCAAAACUCCAUUCUUCAGGAGUGAUUUCUGAACUGCUUGCUUCAUUUCGAACUCUGUAAGCGCCGAGGACCAAGGUGCUGAAAGCCAAUCAGAUACUGUUAUUGAGAGCGCAGAAACAGAUGCAUACUAGAUCUAGAGGAUCGGAUUGCUGUCAAAGAUGCAUUUAUUACUGAUGUCCCAUAUCUACUAUAUCUAAUAGGAAUGUAAAAACCCUUUCCUAACUACGAAGACAGGAUGGACAGGAAUUGCACCACUUCUGUUAGCGCCCCGAGAGUAAGCUAAUGCACAAGGGCGAAACAAUAAGAGGAUUGGAAGUAUAUAAACCGGUAAGAUUCAAAAGAAAGAGAAGCUAGUCAGAUUCAAAAGAAAGCCAAGCCAGUAGGAUUUCCAAGAAAGGGAAGUAACGCCGGUAAGUUCGUUGAUGCUAAGCUCGUAGACAAGUAACUACUAAUGGACAAGCAGCGGCGUCGGAUUACUGCUGACCUACUUCUAAUAUUCUUUAACUAUACUUUGAGAAUGGACAAGCCAAUCACCUCUUUCGUAGACAAGGAAGGCAGGACAAUCUGUUGACAUGGAGUUCAGUGGAGUUAUGGGCUUUCCCUUGUAUUUCUUUUGCAUCCUUAAAACACUUGUAUUGCCUUUGCAUCCUUAACUUGUAUUGCUUCCUUUCGAACUACAAUCUACUAAAUGACACUAUAACUCCCAUCUACUUAAACACUAGCACCCAAAGACACUCAGAUUCAGUGCGCUGAAGAAAAGGUGUUCAGUGACUUUCUGACUUAUUUAUAGAAGUAUAAGGUGUGCAGUGAGAUUGAAUAAGAGUGACGGGCGACUUAUUAAUUCGAAAUGAAACAAGCAACAGCUUGAGCAAAGGGAGAAAGUCAAGUUGAGUAGCCUGUCAAAGGUAUAAACAAGAGAGUGUUGAGUAGCCUGUCAAAGGUAUAAACAAGAGAGUGGAGUAUGAAAGAAAAGGUAUAAACAAGAGAGUUGAGUAUGAAAGCAGUAAGGAGGGAGGUGACUUCUUUCUAGAUGUGUAACGCUCUCUUCAACAAGAGCAAGGGCGCCAGUGGAAACUACUAUAGAUGCAACUAAGUGUCGGCCUACUACUGCUCCCCUACUAUAUUGCUCGCGUAUCCAGUAAAGUAUCCGCGUGUUCCCCCUGGUAUAGGUAGUUCAAAGAUGCUUUUUCUCAUCGAACAGCGGAAAAUGCAAAUACCUUUCUUUACUCCCUGGGCACUUCCUUCGUCUGCUUUCUUCCGCCAGUACUCUUCUUGCUGCUAUUAUACUAUUCUCUUCUCUUUUCUUUUCGCCCGCCUAAACUCACCGACUUGGAUAUUCCUUUUACGUACGUGAAUUAGUCCCUUGCUUGGCUACUUUAUUACGCUAUGAUUCCCAAAGAGAAAGAAAUAGAGGUAAGCUGGUAGGCUAGGCAAAGUCAAAUGGUAUAGUAUAAAUAUGUCCUUAUCUCUCUAAACAGGGGGCAAAUAUCUUUGGUGGUUGAAUUAGCUCAAAAAGAAAGGAAAGGCCUUCUAAAUCAAAAAGCAAGAAGGUUUCAUACGAGGAGUUAGAAUACAAUAACCGGAGGUGUAGCUAAUGACAAUUCGUGUUGAGUCUAUUUUGGUAAUGCUUGAGAAAGAUUGUUCUUUACCUUACCCUUCCCACCGACCUGUUGUUUUCCUUCCCCGAAUAGAUAGACCUUUUUGUCUUAGUGCAGAUCGAAGAAGAUAUUGUUGGUUGAAGUCACCAAGCAACUACGUAAGUAGCGCGGUAGCGAGCGAAACUCCCUAGUCGAUUGGAAUCCCUAGACGAAAGAGCUAUAAAUAGAAAAAGGCUUACUUGUCUCAGAGGCCCAUACGCAGUCCAUAGGACAUAGAAAAGGGACAUUAGGAUCGAUAGGACAUAGAAAAGGGACAUUAGGAUCGCUGACUUCUAUCUAGACAUUAGGAUCGCUGCCUUCUAUCUAAUAGUAGAGGCCGCAUUUAGCUCAAAUUGGGACCCUUCUCAAGUCCAGAAGAGAAGAUCCAUUCUAUACCAGGAGCAUAGCUUUCUAUUUUUCUACCAUUGGCCCGGAAUACUACUUCUUUGUAUCAAUGGCCCCAGGAGUGCCCAUCCACAGUGUUUCAUAGGUGAAGAAAGAGGCUCUCGCUUCAUAGCUUCUUUCUAGAGCCAGAGCUACAUCUUAAACAACUGGCUUGGCUUCCAAAUAGGCUCGAGCACUAGGACAUAGGAUUUCCAGCUUGCUCAAAACAAAAUAACCCUGCUUGGAUCACCUCGAUUCUUGCUUUCCUGGAUCGUUAACCAAGGGGCAGUGGGGUCGGGUAUAAAUGGCAGCCUAUGAUAAGUCAAUUCUGCACUGCAAGAAAGUCAAAUCAAAAAGCAAAAGAAUCACCGGAAGUAGGAACUUGGUAUAGGUCUUACGCAUAAGUUCUAGUAUAGCACAAUAUAUAAUUAGGGGUCGCCCGAGCACCAAAGACUUUUGCAAAGAAAAGUAAACUAAACAUUCAGUUAUUAUUUAGGAAGAAAUAGAAAGUACAACUUCCCCGGAAAUCCCAAUGGAGGUCUAUCUCUACGAUUAGUAUAGUUUACGAGUUCCUAUCUCUCAUCCGUUAGAGAGAAGGAGAUUCAAAUCUAGGGCCAAGCAGACGCCAAGUCACUACUAGACAAACAACAACUAACGGCCAAGAUGAGAUAAAAAGAUCGAAUUGAGAUGAGAUUGAGAUAGCAAGAUUGGAUUUCGAGAAGAAGCCCUUUUCAAAUAGUGACAUCUAUCGCUUUAGCCCGCUAGAGUAGUUUGCUUUACAGACCAAGAUUGAGGAUAAGACUAUGAAGUUCGAUGAAACAAGUGUGUUUAAAAGCUAUCCGACAAGCUAUUGAUUGGUAAAGAUAUGAUUACAGUUUCUGAAUUUAUAAAGCAAAAGCCUAUUCCAAAAGGAUGGAACUAGAAUUAAUGAGUUAGGUCACGCUGGAGGCUAUCAUUAUUGAUGUAUUAGUGUACAACAGUGUACAGGAUUUCUCGGUAGUUCGGGUAUCUACUGCGAUCGAACAGCUUGAUUCUGCUGUACGAGUUCAAGCGGUUACUAUGUCAAGAAAGAAAGCAGCGGCUAGUUGUAAGGAAGAUGUAAGGUGCUCCGGAUGAACGAGAAAGGAAGGGCCGCCUCGUACUUUUGAGACUCCUCUCCUUUAGUCGCCCCUUCACUUCGACUUAGUUUCGGUGCUCGCCCUAACCUAUUAAAAGCUAGUGCUCAAGCCUAAACCUUACAACUAGUAUAGCACUCACUCCCUUUUGGGUGAAAUAAGAGUUCGCCGCUUUCUUCCUUUUUCUUUUGACCUUUCUUUUGAGUUGUCUUCGAUUCUAAGCUAAGCCCUAUGUUCCGAAUCGAUUUUGAUGAUUCACGUCUAAAUUAGUUCCCCAGAGUACAGACAAGGAUCAUGAUUACCUCUUGGCUCUUUGAUAAAGGUACAAGAGCCGCAGACGGAAGGCAAGGAAAUUUCACCUACAGAAGGAGGAAAGCACUUCGAAGUCAAACUCUUAGAUGGACAGAUGUCGACACUUGAGUCAAAGUCGGAAACCGACAGUACAAAAAGAACGAAUUAUUGUCAUGAUCGGAAACGAGAUACCACAAUGUGUCAGAAAGAAAGGGCCACGACAAUCAAUCUUUCUCUCAGACUACUCUUUCAAACAAAGUAAACUGCAACAACUAACAAAUCCCAAAGAUUGGAAAAGAAGAGACCCUCCCCCAAGGCUGUAACCUCUAAAGGGUCCGCCUAAUAAUCCAGCGAAACUCCCACUUCUAUAAAGAAAGUGGCCGCCUACGGGAAAGAUAGUAGUACGUACAAAAGGGAUGCGGCAUGACUGCUGUUUUAUUGACUUUCAUUUCUGCUGUUAGCAUGGUUUGAUGGCAUAGAAUCAAUAGUUUACACGCACAAAAACAAAUAGAAAGAAGUAAGGGAAUUUCAUAGGUGACUUCUUACUCGGAUUCAUGCCCAGACUCGGACGCAUAAUGAACUUAGGGGGUGCCUUAAUAUCUUAAUCUAAUAGAAAAGGGCUUCUUGCUGCCGUACUUGGAUUAUGCCUCCGGAAUCGCUAAGUCACACAUAUCUUCUCAAAUGGGAUGAAAGAACAAAGCAUUCAGUGGGCGUUAGGCUGUUGAUGGGGGCGCUGCUAGUGAAAGAAACGGACAAGGCCUCAAAGCUGUGAGCCCUCUAUCUUUUUCAGGAAGCAGAGAGAGCAAUCACACAUUUCUACCAGGCACGUAUCGAAGUAGAAGAGGAAGUUGGUCUUACCAAAACACAUUCGCCAUUGCUCUCGGCGGAAGCUUUAGCUGUUGUUGGGAUUGUGGAACUAUGUGAAGGGAGAAAUUAGUCAAAAGGUCCGAUCAAACAUCCCGUGCAAGCUAAUCGGCUUUUAUGAGCAGUCUGACUCACACUUUGGACAUUGAUUAAUGGGCUCGAGACAGCGAAAGCAUGAUAGCGGGAAUGCUGGUAGAGCAAUCGAAGCUAGGGUUUUCUUUUCGAAAAAGAAACGGAGUUAAAGGAAAGGGCGCUGUGAACACUCGGUUUGACUAAAGCGCGUCACGUCUUAGCUUCAAUUCACUCUUAUAUUCGUACGUUUUGAACAGUUCUUUUUCUUCUCAUUUAUAUUACAUUACGAGAUUUCUGCCUUAAGGGAAGAAGGUCAUACUAAUGCGACUAAGACGACUCCGUCCGCCUAUAACUAGAAAAGCUUGAAAUCUACUAUUUCCCAGUCCGUAAGCUGGUUCAAUUACACCUGAUAUGCCAACCGGACAACUUUGGGGGAAGCCUCAUUCUUGCGCACCCACUCUUAGAUGCGGUCCUCACCUGGAUCUUAUUACCUCCACUAGCAAUAGAACUUCACUUAUGCUCCUAACCAUACCCUCCCUAAGGAUCUGACUUAUUGAAGCGAGAUACAGGAACUGCCGAGCGGAGCAACUCGAGUUAGACGAGAGGCGGGGAUGUCAUUUCCAAGAGAGAAGAGGCUCGACCGGACCCAAGAACAAACCUAGACAAAGGAAAGAAGACAUGCCCCACUGUGAUACCUCGUGCAAGUUCUACGGAAUUACCUGAAAGAAGUCAUUAGCUUCUUGAUAUUGAGUGUGCCUUAGCUUACCUUGAGCAGGGCCUCUGCCUAUGUAUAACAACGUCCUUGUCGACGACACCCCCUUUUUGUCCAUUGGCGCGAGUCAACUAUACUUAAGUAGGGAAUUGCAUGCGAGACUUCCAGGGUUUUCUUUAUAUUUCAAGUGAAAGCUGGAUGAAAGGCAAAGGCUCAGAGGAUUUGAUGUCAAAAGAAUGCCCUACGAACGUGCUUUUCUUGAUCUACAGUGCCAGGGUUGCUUGGUAAGAUAGACCUACGAUCGAGGUUUCGUAGCCUCGUGCUCCAACUAGAAAAGCUAUCUGUCGGUCAGUCAAUCCAUUCAUUCAAUUAAGUCUUUGCGAGCGGGGCACGAGAUAAGACAUGAGAUAAUGUGUUAUGGUUAUUAAAGAUGAGGAAGACUUGGUUUAAAGCAAAUAUCGAUUCCAGGUUCACCUUGUUUUCGUGAGUUUUCCCAUCAUAAAGGAAUGGGGACAUUGCGAGAGACUCUCGAUUUGCUGCUAUACAUUUGGAGAAAGUGGAAUAAGAAAGGCCUUAUACCGUAACAACAAAGAGGCUGAUUUGAUAACGUUAGGAUAGGCGCACGGGGCUAGACCCAUCGCAGACCAAAAACGAAAGCCUUUACUAAGCCUAAGAAAAGCUUGUCAAAAGACCCCCGAAGAGCUGACCUGACCAAAGCUAGGGCAUUUAGGCUGUUGGUCGGUAGGUAAAGACCUGUUGGGGACUUUCCAAAAGCUCCUUUCGACCUCAGCUACACAACAAAGACCGAUACAAAAGAAGGGGACCUGACUGGGGGAAGAGGCUAGGAAUAUAGUCAAUGGAUGAAUUUCACCCUAUUGCUUACACCAGAGAGGCUAGUGAGAUCGAUAGAGAUAACGAGGCCAGGCGAAGAGACCCAUUCUGUCUUUCUUUAUUAAGAGAACGGGAAUACGGAAUGGACCCAUACGUAUUAAGAGAACGGGAAUACGGAAUGGACCCAUACCCAUACGCUCAUUUUGGACCGAAGCGAGAGAUUCCUCCUCUCUACUCUUCCGCUUAUUCGAUUAACUCGGCUAUUGCAGAAAGUGAACUUCCAUAAUACUGUAAAACACUUUUAGAGAAACUAGCAUCUUGCAUCUCAAUUCACUAGCACAGCCCUUCUUCCGCUUUGACCAAGCCUUGAGGAGACUACUGGCUAGGAGAGAAAUACUCUAAUGAAAGGAGGGGCGGAUGUGACUAUACAAAACUAGAUCCAUAAGAGGGCAGAGCCUCGGCUCACGUUUUCACUAAAAGAAUCAAGCGAGCCUUUUCCUCAUGGAUAGAUGCAUUUCCACCUAUUGCUUAUAAAGGACCAGACCCACCAAGAGAUCGGAUUAGAUGAAGGGGAGGAGAGAGUACUACUAUGUGAAAGAACGCUAAUCGCUUAAGGAAUAGAAUCUUAUAAAGAAACGGAAUCCACAGCAAUCGAUGAACUGAGCCCAAGCCCACCUGCAGCUAAUGAGAAAAGUCCUACCACUGACAGAAGUUUCAUAAGCAAGCAAAGAACCAAACCAAUCUCCUCUUGACCCGGCAAAGAAAGAAAGGAACGAACGGGAUUCACACCGGCAACUCCCAAAACCAGAUUAACUGGGGAGCCAGCAAGAAGGGCAGGAGCUUUUUCAACCGAGGCUGGGGGAGAUAUUUACACAGAUGUAUUUCAAUAAAUAGGAAUGAAGAAGCCCCUAAACAGAAUGACAGAGACGAAAGAAGUGGAAACUUUCACAUUAGAACAGCCCAACGGUAUAGACUACAUUGGAUUAAUUCAUUCUGAUAUCUUUGAAUCGGUCUCAAGUCUGAGGUCAUAGCAUCCUUGCUGGAAAUAGUUCCUCUCCUCAGGCCCUGGCCUAGUAGCUCGGGUCGGGCAUGCCCUUUUCUUCUUUCUCGUCCAUGAAGCCUGGGGUCCUUUAAACACUUCUCCCCCCACGUGCCCAAACCGAUCGCUAUCGUUUUCUUGCUUUCUUGUUGUCUUGAAUUUGGAUAGAACGGCUUUCCUUUUAUUGUGUAGUGUGUUAGAAAUUGACUUUGUUAAGUAAGUGCAGUUCGUGGUUUCUGGGUAUGCCCCACUCACGGUUAAGAAAGAAUCAGGUGAGUUUUUAGUUGAGCAAAGGGCUUUCUUCCUCUAAUAAAGAUAUAUUCUAAAUAGAGAAGAGAAAGAUAAUCCAACUACGGCUUAAACAACGCAUAAAGGCCAUAUUAGACUACUAGAGCUCCUUGUCGUUUCGGGGAGUACGCGUACAAAAGUUGUAUACGAGAAUCUCAUUGGGUGCAAGCGAGUGUUGUCGUUUCGUUCUUAACUUCUUCAGCGCUAAGUUAAUCAGUAGAAUCCCCUUCUUUUCCGUAGAAUCCCCUUCUUUGGGUGCGAGUUUUGAAGUAUAAGUAGGUUAUUGUUGAGUUGAGUCUCAUAUAGAAAGGGAAAGGGUCAUUAUUGAAUAAGAGGUGAAGCAGUGCCCAGAUGAAGCUGUUUAGUUUGAAUUGUGGAAUGAAAUAUAGCCUAGUGUUUCUUAGGUUUGUAUAGAUAGAUCUUGGUAACCUGACAUUCCAAAGCCCCCAAAGUAAGCUGAUAGAGCGGCCAAGUAACUACGUAAGUGACGAAGAAUCGAAUCUCAAAUCUCAUGUUGAGGUGAAAUAAAUAUCAUCAGCUGGGUACUUAGCAAGAGGGGGGCAAACUACGGCAAAGGUCUCUGUCUAUGUGUUGGGAGUUCGAGCAAAGGUCGUAGAGAUAGGGAUGCUGUGUAUUUACUCAAUUCUUUACGGGGCUCGGUAAGAGGUAUAUUCUCUAUUCUUAUAUUACAGCGCUAUAUGGAAUAUCUCUCGCUUUCGUUGCUUGUCCGUUAGUAUACGCUUGCACUUAUUAACAUUCCUUGCUCCGGUCCGGGCUGCUACCCCAAAAUAGGAAAGAAAAGCAAGGUGCUAAGAGCCUGUUUAUAGCUCAAAUGCACAUCCAGCAAUUAAGGAAGUGCAGAACCGCGCUCUAAGGAAUAUCAUAUAGUGCACAAGUUAUGUAAAUCAUUAACCUUACUUCUAUUACUAGAAAUCAUUAACCUGACUCUGUUACUCUAAGCUAAGUCUGCUCUACGGAAGGAAUAUGCCUGACUCUGUUUGUUACUCUAAGUCUGCUCUACGGAAGGAAUAUGCCUGACUCUGUUUGUUACUCUCUUCUCUAAGUCGGCUCUACUCUUACUCUACGGAAGGAAUAUGCUUAGGGCUUUCUGAAGACGGAUUCGAUUGAUUCAUUUCUUAGUCUAGCUAUCCACAGAAGAAUAACAAACUACUCUGGAACUCACAUAAGCACUUUAAGAACAAGAACUCACGUUAGCACUUUGGCGAAAGAAAAUCAUUGAGCGUUCACAGACAGAGUGCAUAGAAUUCAUGAAAUAUAGGCUUACUUAACUUACGGAAAUAGAAAUCUCAUAUAGGUGAAAACGGAUAAUAGAGUAACCUGACUGCCAAAAGCUUGUUUAUUAGCAUAGUAUAGAAGAAGUAAACAAACAUGGAUUACCUUUAAUCACGAAUGGAGUUUACCCUAGACAGCACGAAUUAAGGCAGCCUUACCCUAGACAGCACGAAUGGAGUUUACCCUAGACAGCUUAUUAAAGGAUAGAAGGACAGAGGCAUAGGCAACACAGCUUAGCUUAUUAAAGGACAGAGCAGAGGACCGUGUGUUAUAAGCUUAUUAAAGGAUAGAGCGGAGGAUCGUGUUAGAUUAGAUGAGUACUCGAUAGAGCAGAGAACAGUGUUAGAUAAGUACUCUCUGUGAACCCUUGCUUGUUCGGGUGUUGUCGACAAGAAAGAUCUUAUUGAUUGCUCUGACUCUAAAGAAGAGCAUCUCUCCUAGCAUAUGAUAACUGUAACCUGACAGCAAACUAACUUCUUGCUUAUUGUAUUGUAGUUCGGGGUGUUAACGUUCUUUAAAUGGAAUCUAGCAUAACCAAUAUCCGAGUAGUAAACAACCUCUCUAAAGCAAAACCAAUAAAGGAAUAGUAUACAAUCUAUCUAAACCUAGCUAAACCAAUAACCAAUAUGAUAGUAGUAAACAAUCUAUCUAAACUCUCUUAUUGUGUUGCGCGGUACACCACGAAACUAAGGAUGGGCACCUGGGGUAAAGUCAAAAAAUGGAGUAUAGUCCCCUAACUCACUAACGCCGAUGAACAAAGGACACUUGUCUUGAUGCAAAGACGGGUUCUUCAGAUGGAAUUGAUUCUUACCUUCCAAGCAAGCCUUUACUAGAUGAUGAUAAAGAUCUGUCUUCCGCCCAACAAGCAACUCAACAAGCAACGAACGAAUAAGAAACUAACUUACGUGAAAAAGGAGGGAUGCAAAGGGCUAAGGCUAACAUGUAGUAGAGUGAAGUUACUCAUCGCCAAUCACUGAUUGAAUUGCGGAUUUCAAAUCGAACAGAUGAUGGACACUAGCGGCCCUGACGCCUUUUCAUUUUGACUUGCUUGCCCAGAACCAGUUCCAAUUUCUUUAUUACUUGUUAUGCUUUUGUAGUAGUAGCUUGGCUGGAUGAAACGGAAACUACGGAUUCUCUAAACUCUAAGGAGAAGGAUACCUCGCUCGCGCACCCUUUCCAAAAUCAAGGUAUCGUUGCUACUCCGUUUCAUUGUCUCCCUUUCUUGGAUUUCCAUUUCUUUUGCCGACCUAAACUCUCACAUCGUCAAUCAGUAUUCGGUGAAUGUGUGGCGAGCUUUUCCACUUCCGAUAUAGUACCUAAAUGUUGGAUUUGCUAUUAGCUACUAAGAAUAUAGGUUAACCGACUCGAAUAAGCUUUCUUAAGCCCCUUGAUAGUGCUCGAUAAGACCUCUUGAUAAACCACAUACACUUCCGGGUUUGAAAUGACACUUCUUUUCUUGUCCCGCUAUAGCUUCUUUCUUGUACGGAAUAUGGAACUUCUUCUUACUCAACUUCUAAGGCACUCGCUGCGUAACCUUAUUGUAUGGGGUUAGGGUACCUAUCAAUAUGAUUCUCUUCAAGCAAGUUGUCCAUCUGAUUCUUUUCUGCACUUUCUAACGCGCUUAAUAGAUGUUGCUUCUUUGUUUGUUUACUUCUUCUAUAAUCCAUGUGCAUUCAAUUCCAUUCGGAAAGGCUUAUAUAGGCAAUAAGCAAGUACUUGGGCAAUAAGAAAGUACGCGGCAGGGCAAAAAAGCCGUAUAGUACCAGGGCAAAAAAGCCGUAUAGUACUAGGGCAUCUCCUCUUUCACUCGUAUUGUAUGAAAGUAAUAUGCUUUGCGCUAACGUUUGUUUCUACUUUACCUGGAUACCGCACAGCUUUGCUUAAUCGCUACGUUGGCAAAAGAAAAGAGUGGAUUUGAUGCUGAACCCUAUGCCUCCGCCUUACCAUGAACCUGAAUUGAAUGCUUGACUUGCUCCUUACGCUCGCUGUAGCUCAAACAAAGUAGUAAAGUAGAGUUGCACAGGACUCAAGUACUUAAUUAUUCCCUCGCCUUGCGCCCAGACUUGAUAGCCUUCUUUCAGCGCGCAGACUUGGAACAUGGGUUAUACGACAUCUUGCUUUCCCCUACAAGUAUUAUCAGAGCAUUGUCGGGAGGCAAGAUUCGGAAUUGAUUCCAACAAUGGAAGUUUACCCCCCCGACGAGCUCAGUUCUUUGCUUUCCUUUUUCCGACCUCAACACUGAUUGAAUUGCAGAUGAAACGAAAACAGAACAUUCUCCCCACUACUAUCUUCUUAACCGAACUCGACUCGUACCUUAUACUUAAGCUAGAGAAGGAAUGGAUGAAUUUCCGAACUCGUAUAAUUCACUCCUGGUCUUCUUCGAAAGAUUGCUUUUCGACAAUCCCACGUUGGCACCCACCUAUAAUCCCACGUUUCACCUAUUUCCUAACUAUAAACUAAAGGAAGUAUCUCCUUUAUAGUGUAGCUCAACGCUUAGAAGUUGAAGAAGUAAAGCACCUUCUCUUGAGGAACUACUUAUUCUAGCUAGCUCUAGAAGAGGAAUAACUCCUAGCUUUGGUUGAAACUAUAAGUUAGUGCGGGUAUUGUCGAGCUGGCCCAAAUUCCAACUGGAAAGAAAACGCCCCGUAGUUGAGAUCAGGCCUCUAAGAAACAAGAUUCGCUCCAUCUUGAGGAUCCGCCCUAUCCUUCUAUUAAACGAUGUUGUUAGAUGGUGAGCUCUUCUUUAUGGAGGUGCUCCUCUGGGCUUAGUUAGCUCUUGCUUCAGUCUUUUCUACCUCUUUCUUCUUGUAGCUAUUGCCCUAUUCCCUCUAAACAAGACCCGGCUUACUCGCUGGCGGAUCAAAGCGGUUUUUUCCUACUUUACCUCUUUUGUUGCUUUUGGGGGUUAGCUCUUCCUGACAAACCUUCUUGAGUGAGAUGCCACUAAAACAGGAGAGGAGAAAGUGAGCUCUUUUUUAGCUCCUCGCUGCUCUAGUCUGUGUAUAACUGCAAUUAAUGAAGCGCGCGGCACUCAGCGAUCUCAGGGCUUACUUGGAAGACUCUUCGGCAAAGGGCGUUGCUACUUGUGACUACUUAUAGUGAUGACCUACUUAACUCCCAGCUACCAAAUACAGCUCUAAUGGGUCGAAGCAAGGGCGGUGAGGCGAGUUGUCGAAGUUAUUGUAUGAGAGGAUGUGGUGAUUCUAUUUUCUUCCACUUUAGAGCUUGUGAUUGAGGAACUUUGCAUUUGAUUAACGAAGUGAUUGAGCAUUUAACUAGCACCUUAAUGAUUGCAUAUAGAAGACUACUUUUCAACCCUAGGGGAAUGGACUGGCGGAGUCGACGAAUACGGUGCUGGAGCUAAGAUAUUAGGCAAAUCCUUAUAUCAAAUCAAUAUGGGGGCGUAGCGAUCAUCAGUAUUUGUUCGUUUCUCUAAUAAAAGGAGGUUGGAACUUGGAACUAGAUGCCUUCCCCCCUUUGGUCGGUAAGUAAUUCUAACAAGGGAAGAUCAGACUCAUAAAAAGAUCAAACCAAAUAAAAGCUACACACACUGUAGAUUCUUGCGUUGCGCUAGGAAAAGUGGCUUGUGCCAAAAUGUAGGGUGAAGCUGCAAAAUCCAAUGCCUUCUUUGCUUCUUCGGGGAUGCUAAUGCUCGCUUCUUUUUCUUUCCUUGCGUGCCUCUUUCUUCGCGCUGCUCCUUCCAUAGCCUAUCGCAGCCAACACACCUUUGCGAAAUCCUUUACUUAACCCAUUUUUCGAAAAAAGAGAAACCUGCCUUACAAACCGAGCUCGGGCCCACCCCCUUGUGAAAAGAAUUAUGGCUCUCCCCCGGUCUGUCUCUAUGCUUAAUUCCGGAUUUCUCCCUUCUUCCCUCUGCUCUGUGAACGUACCGAACCUUCAUCCUUUAUUAUGCCGCAUUCGACUAGAGAACGAAUCUAGAUAGCAAUCAAACCUUAUGGCUUAGAUUACCUAGACGUUAGAUUCCUCAGUUGGCAUUCUAGUAGGCUUUUGGAUUUGCCUUUCGCCGGGUUGGAACAGGGCAGUCGCCUGCGUUGAUCCCUUGUUGGAAACGAUUCGGCUGUGUCAUUCGAGUAGUCUUUUCAAUGUGUGCUCUUCUCUUAACAAGGCCUUUUUCUAGCCAAAGAAUUCGAAUGGUGAUGAAAGUAUUGAGACAAGGAGGGAUGCAUGGUACCCACGUUACUAAGCCUUAUUCCCUAUGUUUUUCGGCCUAUUCUAUAGGAGAACUCUUCUUCUCACGCUUACAAUGACCCCGAGUAGGACGAGCUGGCAAUCUCCGAAAAGGGUUAUCAGGCUCAUGGCCAAGAGUCGCGUGGUGAUCAAACUCUGGACGCACCCACGCUUUCAACAAAACAAACUGGGCUAAUAUAUGUACCUGAUGAUUGCGAGGCCCUUUACUCCACCUAUUGGCAUAGGUUAGAAAUAAAUGUACUUGACCAAACUCACUAAUAAGAAUCAACGUUGGGACAGAAACUCACAUCUAUUCUAUAUUCCUAUCUCCUAAGCACGAGACGAGCCAUAACCUAAGGGGCGCAUUAAAACACUCGCUGGAACAUAACUAUGAGGCUUUGAGGGGUCUUCUAAAGUCAAGCGCUUUUCGCAGUAAAAGCACUUUGUUUGGGAAGUUAUACCCGAAAUGGCUAGUAUCCGGUAUUGUAAAGCAUUCCUCACGGCUGUAACUGGCAAGCUACUACGACACUUCUGAUUGUUGCUAUUGUUGCUAUUAUAGUGGAUGCACUAGACCACACCAAUGAAUUGAAGAAUUAGAGAAAGAAAAGGUAGACUUAGAGCAAAGAGGGGAAGGCCGAGAUAAGGUAUAGUAGGAAUAAGAGAUAGGGCUGUUAUAAUAAUCGAAAGUUAAGUAGUAUUGAUAGGGUGGAAUCAGAAUCAAAGGAGGGAGGGUCUCAGAAGCUAGGUUCCGAUGCAGUGGUCCAAGGCUGAAAGACAGGAAUAUCGGAUUCGAAGAAAGGUGCUUCAAGCCUAAACAAUCGAACUACAAAAUACAAAUAGGUAAUGUCCGCUUUAUGGAUAGGGAAGCAAAGAUCCAUAUCGAUAGCUAAAGAAUUCAAAGAGAAAGUAAUAGGAUAGAUCUGUAUUUAAAGAAUCAGAAGAAAAGUUAGGGUAGUUAGCCCUGUUAGCAGUAGUCAAUUCCCCGGUUCGAGUUGUUUUCUUAUUGGCAGUGUUCGGAUUCCCUUUUCUCUUGUUUCAGUAUUGUUUGCCCUAACUCGAUUCUUUUGUGUUAAUAGUGAAAGGCUGUUUGCCAGCUGCUCAAUUCUUAUUGAACUAGUAUCAAUCUUAUAUCACUGUAACGUUUAUAAAUACAGAAUCACUAUAAGGAGUCACAGGCUAAGAAAAAGGAAAGGCAGACUAAUAGACAGGAAUUACAGGCUAUUACAACAGAGGUAAAUACCUUUUUGAGAUCCGUAGCCUAAGAGCGACAGAAGCUAGUAGGUAGGGGACUACAGUCUAUAAGCUAGGAUACAAAGAGCAGCACCGGAGAAUGAGAGCUCAGGGAUAUAGAGACUUAAAGCAGGCAAGGGAAAGCUUGGAAGCACUAGUUCCUUUUUUCGAUAUAGUAGUAUAGUUCCAAUGGUAUAGUCGUUUUCUUCCAGGAAUCCAUCUUGCUUAGGGUCGGGUCAAACAGUUCUCUUUCGAGCACAGAGCAGAGGUCGACCACCUAAAGAAAGGGGCAUGCAAAGUCCAAAGGAGCUGCGGAUUCUUCUGCUUCAAGUAAAACACCCGAAGAAACUCCACUUUCUUCCUUAAACACGAGCAACCGUAUAAUAGAAACACGAGCAACCGUAUAAUAGAAGUUAGCAACUUUGAACUCACAAACUGACUAUAAGGGCCUCAACUCGACUAUCUUCUUACUCGACCUAAACUUGAAGAACCGAUUGCAGCUUACCGCUUUGAUACCGAUGUUUCAGAUCCAAUUACCUCUUUCUAAUACAAUACACCUUUCUUUCUCUAUUUCUCUUAUAGCAGCUGCGCCAACUGUUUGAUUUGAAACUGCUGAUUCUAUCUCUCCGACCUCAACUUGAACCCUUUACUUAUCCUUUUCAUGGCAAGUUCCCUUUGGUGGCUUCUUUGAAUGUGGAAAAGGAGAAGUCCAGCUCUCUUUCACUGCCUUACUUUGGACUUUAUCUAGCCAAAGAAAGACCCGCAUUUGCGCCAAAGCCAAAGACCUGCCGCCAAGCCCAGGAAGCUCAGUAUUCUUAAUCCAGGAAGCUCUUUAUUCAGGAUGCUCAUUCUUCUUAAUCGAAUAUUAUCUUACUUCCAAGGCAUAACAAAUCGAAUAUAUUACUUCUUCCAAGGCAUAACAAAUCAUCAUUAUUUGGGCAAAGAAAGGAUGCAAUAGCAUCGGUUAGAGCAAAGCCCCCGCAUAAUAAUUGUUUCGCCAAUGAGAGAUUUCACGUCACGGAAUUAAUCGAGGCGAGGAAGGGAAGUUAAGGACGGUUCCAAUAUAGACUGCUGUUUCCACUAAAGCAAUUGUAGCAGCUCUAGCACCCAUUUCUUUUGCAACCUUAUUCAUUUAUUACCUUCUAACAUCUCUGUCGAGUUUCUAAUUCUCGUCACUUUCAUUCACGAUUAUCUCUUGACUCGUUGAUUCUUGGGCGGACGGGCAUGAUUUUCGAUAUGUUUGUUGUAUAGUGGCAUUGGCUCACAGACACAGAAUGAAUUGACUGCUGCAUAUACUAUACUUUAUCACUAAUCAAAGGUAUUACUAAACUUGAUUCACUAACUCAAAGUCUUGGUUGGAGGGAAGGGGCGGGGCGUCGCUGAAGUGCAAUAGAGAUUCUUCAAACAAAUCGUAGUUAGGACCGUUUUCUUCAAUAUCUCGAGUUUAGCCAUGCAAAAGACUUCCUUCGUUGGAAACUAUUGCUAUUUCAUUUCAUCAAAAUAUGGGAGUUGAUGCUUUCUAUUCUAUAAAGUACGCUUCCUCACGAAUCUCUCUCUAAGGAGACAUAUUCCUUUUUGAUUCUAGUCAUGGUUCAGAAAGAAUAUGAAAUGCAAAAGUAUUUCUUGCAAGUCCCUUUAUUUUGACUCAAUGAUCCGAUCCACAUUUCCUGAAGCUCGUAGGAUUAAAGCCUAAUCCCGUAACUGUUCUAUGUUCAUUGAUUGCAGUGCGGAACUCUGUGAGAAAAGAGAUUAGUUCUUCGUUUUUGAUAAUUGUCUAAAUGAUUAUAAGAAAUAUUCCUUAGCGCGCGCCCCCCAAUAGUCUUAUCAUGGGUUCCAUGGGCCAUUUCUCUUAUAUCUUUCUUUCUAUCAUUUGAAUGCAUUUUACCUAUGACAUUAUCGCUCUGCUCUCCUUUAGGUUUCCUUUGCAUCUUGCACACCAUAUGCGCCUCUCUGGGAUUUCCUUCGUUCCAAAGCGAAGUCUUUCCCCUAUUCUUUCGUUUUGACCGAGCAAGGCUUUGCUUUUCACUUGAAAGGAAGGGCCACUUCGCGCUUGACUAAUAUAGAGGGCUUUCGGGUAUGACAAUUAAGAGCCUAUUUCGUGCUUUACUUGCAUUGGGGUCAUAGGUGGCCAUGUGAUUGAGAAAAUGCUCCUUGCUCCCUACUCUUUUCAAAAGAAGAAACGGAACUCCUACUUAUUGAAGAAACUGAACUCCUACUUGAUUGAAUAAUAUUGAGAGGGCUAUUGAUUGGCACCCUCUUGAAAAGGCACCGCACCGAUUCACUUUAGCUAUUGCCAUGCUCCAUGAUGCCUAUGUGUUACUAUAGCGAGUCACCUUGUAUGCAUUCCGAGCGAGUUACCUUGUAUGCUUUCUUAUCUCUUUCGCUUCCUUUUUGAUUGUAUUGAUUUGCCUUACUACGAAGGGGACAUCUACUUUCUAUUCUCAAAAUGGGUUGGCUUUUGACUUUCUCUCUUUAUUCUUUUUGCAUCGAGGAGCACGUGAUACUAGGAACUUGGUUUUGCAUUGCAUCGUGAUACUAGUCACUUUGCCCAUUGGAUUGCAGCAUCACAUCAGAUCUGAGAAGAAAGAUUUGGGUCUGGGAGCCACGAUCAGCAAUAAAGCCACGACAGAUCUCAACAGGACUCACUAGUUUAUCAGCACGACAGAUCUAAACAGGCCGUUAGUUGUAGCUUGGCGUGCCUUAACCGCUUGCUACUGGACUAUUGACCCUUGCUUGUACCGAGUAAACUCAUUCCAUUCCAUUCUGAAGUAUACGCUUGGCCUUAAUAACUAGUGAUUUGAGUUCCCGAACACCCCAGCACAGCACAGGACUUGCUCACUCCCUUCGAAAGUAUACCCUUUUUCCCUAUCGUCUACUUUUAUUGCACUGUUUCGAUUUGGCUUAAAGUCUACCCCCGAACUCUACUUUCAACAGGUGAUUUUCUUACUGAAACACUCCAAUCUAUACCUCUCGCUACUGAUUGACACCGCGCUUCAGUAUUAAGUAAGUUGGGCCAUAAUAAACAAAGUCAAGGCAAGCAGGAGGAAGGCCAUGCUACUGCUGACUUUAUACCGCUCCGUGGGCAUUAAAAGAGAUGAGGCUGACUUUGACUUGUACGAUGAAACGGAAACUGGUUACUCGCGCCCUUGCUUCAUAGAUUACCCUCCCUGCCUGGAACCCUGCUCUACUGGCUACCAUUCUCACUUCACUACCUUUGUUUUCACCCUAUAACUAGCGCAUCCAACAAUGAACCAAUCAACUCGUAAUUGAACUGCUACGGCUAAGACUUUCGCUAGCGCUAACAAGAAUGUAUCCUCUAACUCAAGCUACUGGAUCCGAUUAUUACUACCUUGUCCUUAAUUCUGACUUGAAUGCCUACGCUUGGCUGUUAGCCUCCCACUAAGGAUCUAACAUCUCUAUUGGCCCCUUCGACUCCUUACUCAUAUGACUCAUAUGCAAAUAUUGAUUCCUCGCUUUCACACCUGAUUGAGAGUUGACUUAUGGCUUCCCUUGCCGACCUAGACCCUACUUUAGAACCAGAACUUUACCACUACCCGAGCCCAGUAUAAGUAAGUCUACUACCCUCCCCUAGUGAAGGAAGGAAACUGGAGUAUCUAUUUGCUAUCAGGCAAGUCGACAACUAGGUUCAUUCUUAUACAACUGAGUUCUAUCCUAAGGCCUUGUAUGCUUGUCUGUUUGCUCUUCUCUUUAUCGCCAACGCUCUAUAGCACUCUUCACUUCCAUUCUUUAAUGCCUUUUGACUAAUUCUUUCUUUUUCAUGUCUACAUUUCGCUUUCAAAAGGAAGGAAUGCACUCAUAUUCCUAAUGCCCAGAGGAGGACAAGGCCCGCAGCCCUGCCUUUCAUGCGUUCUGCACGUGAAUAAGAAAAGGAGCCCUAUUUCAGUGCUGUUUCAGAUGGCUUAUUACGAGUCAAGGGACACUUUUCGCUGUUAUGAGCAUCCUUUCCAAUCCUGAAAGCUGCCACAAGGAUACAAUUCCAUGUCUUGCGAUGAUUAGGGAUUAUAGAGGUCAUUAUUACGGAUCUCUUCUCUAUGUUCUAUGUUCUAGAGUUUACGACCAUAAGAAGAAAGACGAUUCUAUUUUGUAUUAGGCAUCGAAGCCUAUGGAGCAGAGCUGUAGUUUUGAAAGGAAUAGGGAGUUGAGCUCGACUGAAAGUAGUCUACAUGGUUAGCUUUUGAGUUCUGAUAUAACGAAUGAAAGCCGAUAAGGCCCUGCAAAGGAGAAUACUAGAGUCGAUGUAAUUGAGCUCGAACGUUAGUGAACGAGGUAUAUAAGCGAGUCAACCAAAUAGAAAUCCUGAGUGGAGGCUCUGGCAAGACCUCGAUUCGGUUAGCGAAUACCUAUGGGCGAGAAAGGAGGGGCUCUCAACAACUUGGAUAACGAACUAAGAGCACAUCUAGUGUUAGCGAGUACCUAACAGGAAAGGCAUCCCACUUUCUUUUUAUGCAAUGUAUGCUUUUCAAACUCUGACUGUUCCCUUUUGUCUCUAUUCCUUACCCUUUCUAUGCUAUAAGUAAUAACUCAAACAGUAAAUGCAAUAUAAUGCCGUAUUUGAAAGAAUGAAGUCAAGUCCGGGGGUAGGAGAAAGUGCUAUCUUAUUCUUAUGAAUAAUUAGCUGAGACAAAAGCAUUAGCAUAGGCAGAAUCAGCAGCAUCAGCAAGCAAAUGCCUUUCUUCUCUUAGAAUGAUCAUGAAUGAAAUCCUACUCGCCUUAUUCUUACUAUGUGCUUUAUGGAAAAUGAUGGAUGAAAACCCAUAUUCUAUAUGAGAAACAUAUGCAACGGGAAGAAAGACCCAUUACAAGUUCUCGGUUAGACAUGAAGGAGGGUUGCUUUCUCAGUUGGAAGUGGAUUUCUCAGCCUUAUUCAAGUGGCCCAGGGAUAGCGAAUGAAUCUUGAUGACGAGCAAGUAACGUAGUUAGAUUGAAGAUGAAUGUUCGAAAGCUCGACCAAAAGAAAGAGAAAGAAAAGAAUCCAGUCGUCCAAUAGAACUCAUUUGGAAUCAAAGACGGGGCAGAGAUUGCUUGCCCGAAGAUGUAGUCAUUUCAUUACAAGAAAAGCUUAACUUAGACCUAAGACGAGCCCUAAUAAACGAUCUGGGAGAGGGCAGUAAUCAAAAGUUCCACCGAAGGAAGUGCUGCAUAAAGGGCGGGUCCAACUUACACAGGAGAGGAUUACCCUAGCACUGAAACGGAAACGGGCAAGGCUAAAAGAAAGGCGUAAAGGUAGCUCACGAAAGACAACAGCGCCUCCACGCCUAUUCGAUAGUGAUUCCGAUAACAUCCUAUAAGAGCUGAUUCAAUCGGGUUAUUAGGAAGAAAGGAAAGUUCUUGCCAUCUCCACAGAUAACUAAGAAAGUGGCUUUUCAAUCGAAAGAUCCCCUGAUAUUACCGAAGAAAAUAGAAUGAAUUGAGCAACUCGUGAGUAAAGUAGUGGAUUUGCCCUCGUAAUGCCGACAAAUGGGAGAACUUUAAAGACAAUAAGCAGUGGGCCAAGCUACUAUCCCGGGGUUAAUCACUCGUCGAGUUCCCGGGUUAGAUUCUAAUCAGUAUUGGUGAAAGAGGAUCUGCCUGCGGAGUUCUCGAAUCAAAGUCUGGAUGCCAGGGAUAAGUAAGGAGCCUUAAGAGUCAAGAGAUCAAGUCAGAAUAAAAGACAGGCGAGGUCGCCUUAGAUACAUUGAUUGAGGCAAGGUUCGGUGUCGUCGGUAGAGGAAGUCCUAUCUCUUUGGUUGACUCUUUCUAGUAGUGAUCCAGUAGUGAUUUCCGCCUGAGGCCCCUUUCUCGAAUGCCUAGUUUGAGUAUACGCUCCAAUGCCUAGUUGCUAGUCCACCUAUUCCAGGAGGAAUUAUUUGACCUAAGAGUGGAGUUCCCUAUCUCGGGGUAAGGUAUUUGUUAGCCAGGGUCCUAUUCUCGUAUGCCCAAGUUCACUUAUAUUUAUUACUAACUCCAUUAUUUAGUGCAAUGUUUCCGGUCUUAUACCAGCUCCAUGUUCUACUACUCUAUCCUGAUCUAUUUCCACUACUCUAUCCUUUAUGUACUAGUUCCAUUCUUGUUAGCAGCGGUUCCAAUCUGAAUGCCAUAGUUGGAUCCCUACUUAUAAGGCUUCUAGUGUUGGAUUUCCCAUUCUCUGUUUCGGGCUGAUGGGCCGUAAAGCAAUAUUUCUUUGUAGUCAAGUAAGAAGGGAGGACAGGCUCCUAGGCCAUUUAAGCAAGACUGAUCUGUGUUUGUCUACGGGUCGGGAUUUGAGGUUAGUGGUUCAAGAAUAAGAGCCUGUAGAGGCAGACCCCAACCUAUAACCAUAAUUUCCAUAAGUAGUGAGAGUUUUCAAUCAAGUAAGGGAGGGGGGAGGGCUAACGGGUGUAUAUCAGAAUGAAAGUGAGAGUCGGUUCGGUCUUUUUAGCAGUAGCAAUAUCUUAUAUAUGUGUAUUGGAUUAGCAGUAGCAAUAUCUUAUAUAUGUGUAUUGGAUCCGAUGCAUUGGUUAUAGCCUGUUUGUUUGUGUCACUAGCUCAUUCUUAGACACUGAAGCGCUAUUCCAUUAGUUGUUUGGUUCGUUACCCAGGUUUUAUUGAAUCCUAUUGAAAGAAAGAAAGUUUACGAGUGUGUCGCCUAGGGGAAAGGAAGUCCAUAAGAUCAAGCAUAGAUAAAGGGAAUGAAUCCAAUAAUAGGGGGCGCAAGUAUAGAGCAAGAAUCAAUAAAGUAACUACAACAAGUAUAGAGCAAGAAUCAAUAAAGUCACUACUAUAAUAUGGGGAAGUCCAGAAUAGAAAGUAUAGAUCGGGUACCUUAUUGUUAUUCUAUGCACUACAUAUAAGGAUUACUUGAAACUCGGUGGGCUCCACUUUACCUACUUGAACACUUUCUAAAUGCAAGCAGGGUUCGGUUCGGGUCACAAAUCUAGUAGUUAUGUAGGUGCCUAUAUGUUUUGUAGUCGUUUUUUAAUGUCCCGUUCGGUUCAGUUGGUUGGUCUAGUGUUUCCUUCCUAUAAGUGUAGGCUGUGGUCAGUACUUCAUGUAGUUUCUAACGGUGCCUAUCAAUAAUAAAGUAGAUCAAAUUCCCCGAUAUCCAAUUCUCAUAUCCAUAUUGCAUGACCUAUAGAUAACAUUCCCCUAUAUCCAAUUCUCAUAUCUAUAUUGCAUGAAAUCAUUCCCAAUAGUCCCCAUGAAUCUAAAUGAGGAGAAUCCCCCUUUCCUUUACCUUAAAGCUGUCACUACUAUUAUUCCUAUGCCUCUUGUCGUGUCGGUAACUUCUUAAUGAGCGGGGCUCUAAACUUCACCUCUAGUUGGCUGGGUCAGACAUUAUAACAUUCAUGAAAUACUUAACAAUCCAUAUAGGGACCGAACUUCUACGACAUUCUAGACUUAUCCGCCCAAUAGACACAUCCAUCUAAUGGAACAAAAGUGACCUGAACCUUGUACAAUAGCAAUAUACACCGAAAUCUCAUAUGAAAUCAAUCAAUGGACAGUUUUCUAAGCGACUCUAACCCCCAAACCAAAGGAAAGCGUCUUUUAUCAAUCUAUUUAUACCUUCCUAUAAUAAUGUGUGAAAAAGACCUUCGCGCGUUCUGCCUUUCUUUCUCGGUCGUCUGUCAAAUAGUUGUGGAUUCCGACCUUCUUUUCUCAAUUACUCUCUAUUUCAUUCCACUUCUUUAAGCGAGUACAUGAAAAGUAUACAUAGCGCGAUACUAGAAUGCUCGAAUGAUAGCAAGGUGCUGAAAGCCUUAAUGAGAGCAGGAAGCGAGUGUAGUAGCAAGCCAGUGGUGAGCGAUCGAAAGCGCCAAAGGUCAGUCUCAUAGGGGCGUGUAUAGCACUUUUCGAUAGGAAGAGAGCGAAGGGCAUAAGAUUUAUUCAAAUGGUUUCGCAAAGGGGUCCAGACUUAGACGAAGGUGCAGUUUCAAAAGCUGGUUUUCUGAUUAUAGGCUUUUAAUUAGAGGGGGAGCGCUUGACUCUCUUUUACACGAGGCGAACCUUUUGGUCUAUCAGCUACUUUACCUCAAAAGCUUGAAGACAUGGUUUCUACUAUAAACAAACCAAACCUUUCUUUUGAUAGCGCUUUUCUGUUAUAGGUAGAGGGAAAGUUCUAGCUUUCUGAAUAAGGCCGGCUUUCCCUAUCCAUUGAAUUGGCCGCUUCGAGAUUGGGCUUAGUCUUAGCUUCACCUAUUCGCUAUUAGAUAGAUAUAGUGGGUCAUAUAGGGAGUCUCCCAAGCCAUUCUUUUCAAUAGUAAUAGUCGUUUCUCAUUUCCAUCUUUUAGUAGUUGAUCAUUUCCAUCUUUCUCCGAUACUUUGACUUUCUUCUUACCUAUAACGCGCAACAAACAUGUAAAGAGAGUCUCGAGGGAGCAGUUAAACAAGGAGAUAUUCUAAGUGGGUCAGCUGUUCUUUGGAGUAGGAAGCUGGUUGGUUACUUUCUUCUAUCUAUUAGAUGUGUGCACUUGACUCAUAUUCCAAUUACUGUCCUGUCCACCAUAUUCCAAUUACUGUCUACGGCAGCUACUGGCCUGUAUGGAAAUUCCAUAGGAACAGCGCAAACAAGUAGAACAAGCUCCGGAACUAACAACAAAACAAGUGAGCGGCAGUAUCAGAGUUCCAGAAGCUUAACCGAUACGAUAAGUACUGAAGUCAAGCAAGGGAAAUCUUUCUAUACUUUAGUCUAGCCUUCCAUGUGCCGAGCCGAUAUUCAGGAUUAGGGAAAGCCAUAAGUGAAUCAGCAGAACAAGCAAGUCGUAGAGUGAAGAGCCCGCAGUAAGAAGAGGGUGUUUCAUCCAAAUAGAUACUCCGGAAUACCAAAUCAAAAGGAACUCGCUUACGCUUAGUGAGUUUACAGUGUUUUGUGACUUUCUGGGGUGCUGGUGCAUUAGCUUACUCUUAUCUUUGGGGCACGUAUUAUUUAGUUCAAUCCGUUUUGUGUGUUAUAAGAAGUUCCAGAGGUGUUAGCGACUUGGACCACCAACGGAUACUCGUGUGAGGGCAUCAAAGGCUUUCUUUUCUUCUGCCCCGACCUAAACAAUAAGUUAUUAUCAGGCUUAUUCAUCAAUUCCUUCUUCAGCGCGGUAUCUUCUAGCUUAGCUUAGUGAAGUCUACUUAUGCUCUUUUCUCUCAACUCCACUAGAUUAGGAUUCUUCCCUGAACGAAACUGGAAUUGCAGCUGACGACUUUCUCUACGACUACACUUGAAACCCUACGUCACUCGUCUACAAGAACUUUCUUUGCAACAGACUUGUUACAACAAGGAAAGCUCUUUAACCCUAUGUCACUUUACAACAAGGAAAGCUCUGUCAAUAAGGAAAUUCAAGUAAGCGUCAGACUCUAAGGGCAAUCAGGCUAUUAUCGGGCUGUCAAUAAGGCAAAUGGAAAGCUCUGUCAACUGUCAAUAAGGCAAUGACAAGUCCCUAUUUCGAAUUCAUUAGUUGUCUGCCAUUACCAAGUCCUGUUUUUUAGAGUUAUAAACGAGUCUUUCUUUUGGGCGGUAGGGCAGCUCUUCCACCACCACUCAAAUGAUAGGGAAAUUCUCAUAUUAACUCAGAAACUGUCCUUGCAAAGCUUUUUGGCCACUAAUCCUAUUCUUUGCGCUCUUCCUAUAGGUGGUGCACCAUCUUAAACAAGCUUAAGGCGCUAAGGUAAAGCCUAGUGAAAGGAAUAGAAUAGCUCCGCUGGUCGAUUAAGAAGAUGGGACAAUCAGUUGAGUGACUUUCUUCUAUAACAGGGGCACCUACAUUCAACAAGUCCCUUUUUCGGCUAACAUGAGCGGGACCGGACCUAUCUAUAGUCAAAGGUGAAAGUGUUAUAACUCACUGCCGCUCAACGAAAACGGAAAUUGUAUGCUCUCUUGCACCACUACUAGGUAAAGUAAGGUCAAACUUGAUAUAUCUCCUCGUAAAGUAAGGUCAAACUUGAUAUAUCUCCUCCCUAAGACUGGAAUUGACUAACAUUCUCCCAAACAAACACCUAGGUUAAUGCAAGUAGCAAGUCCGUAAUUGACAACUAUAAUGGUGCCCAUCUUGAAUCGUAUAUAAUGGUGCCCAUCUUGAAUAGUAUAUGUUGGUGCCCAUCUUGAAUAGUAUAUGUUGGUGCCCAUCUUGAAUAGUAUAUAAUGGUGUCCAUCUUUCUCUCUAAUUUACUACUAUUACUAUGUUGGUUCCUAUCUUGAAUACCGGUAUACCUUUUUGCUAAGUCAUUCUCUUGCUAUAUGAGGUCAGCUUUAGUGUAUGUAUUUGGAUGUUAAUAUUCCAUUCCGUAAUAUGAGUUAGGUACAAGUGUGCUAUUAGUUGUGGAUCAUUUAUGGCAACGAUGGGGUGUGGGCUCGGUGUUAUUAAUUUACGUAUAGUUCGGGUUCCAAUAAGUAAGUGAAAGGCGUGGGGGUCAAUAAGAACUUUGCUAAGGGUGCGUGCGCCUAUACCUAAUGUUUUGAGUGGGUUCAAUAAUAAAGUCGAUUUGGAUAACGGUUCCGAUAUGUGAUUCUAGUUCAGAGCGUGAUCGGGCAAGGGAUUAUUCAUCAUUUCAUAUAUAUAUAGGACUUCUAUUUUAGGGUUCGGUUCAAUCUUUGAUAACAAACAGUGCCUAUCGCUAUUGCCUCAUGUGCGCUUUAACCCUAUCUAUACUCUAACAGGCUGGCUGGCCCUAUCUAUUCUCCCGAUAGGUUAUGUCAAUAAAGUCAGGUACCCUCUUUCUAUUCAAUGCACCUCCUAUUCUUGUUGACAGCUUUACUUUGCUAGCUCGGCUUAGGUUGUUUCUCAAAGAGACUUUAGUUUGGCGCUGCUUGCUCUUCAGCUCGUACUUAAUUGGAAGUCAAUAAUUUCGGUUAGGCUAUGAGGAUCGAUAUAAUCUUAAAGGCGUACGGGAAUUACACUUAGAUGAAGGAAGGUAAAGGAAAGGAGUCUUUUGUAGGAUAACAUAAUCUAAAAGAUACUAUUAGUAGGGAACCAUUACUUCUCUUAUAAUCUUAUUAGUGGGGGUAGGGUACCAUUACUUCUCUUAUAAUCUAUUCGCUAUGGGGAACUAUUCUAAUCUAGACGGUCUGUCAAUAAUCAUAUAGUAUAGAUAAGACGGUCUGUCAAUAAGAAAUAGUAUAGAAAACGCAGCAUACAUUAUGUAUGUUAACCCACGGAGCGGUACCAUUACUUCUCUUAUAUGUGGAAAAUGGAUGACAAUGCUGGAUGGGACUUUCCGUAUAGUAAUAAUAUGGGGCAUUCUCCUAUUCGAGAAAUCUAUCCACACUACACCAACAGGCGGAGCAGCUCCUAGUGCUCUGGCAUUCUCAUCCUCCUGAGAUGGUCUUUCAUAUUAUUGCCCCGCCCUCCCUGUUUCCAAUUAUCAAGCUCCCUUUUUGAAGUCAUUUCUAUCUUGAACGCUUUCUGAACUACGGAUUAUUUUGGGAUUCUUCAGCGGAUUCUGUAACCGCUUUUUCAACCCCUCGGGAAGGACUGUAAGAGAGCAGCCGAUCAGGGCACUAGAUCGUUCUAAAGUCACCUAUGUGUGGAUCUGCUCCUAUAGUCAGUUUACAAUCAUAACCCAACACCCAAAGUCACCUAUGUGCAGAUCUCCUCUGCUCCUAUAGUCAGUUUACAAUCACAACCCAACACCCAGUGCAUUUCUUGCACUUUCGUCUUUGCUUGCCCACUUACCAAUUCCGUUCUUCUUCAAUACAAUAAGAAGAUAGACCAUAUUCCCAUAUAUUCAAUGCUUUCCUUGGCUUUUGAUCUCGUCUCGAGGUUUCCUAUCCUUUGGAUUUCGCGUCCAAGUACGAGCCGGAUUGUGGCAUUAGCCCCCCCUAUUGUGGAAUGGGUUCCAAAUCCGGAUCAAUUCGUUUUUCCUGCUCCAGCUGAGGCUUACUUUCGGGUAAGAGUCAUCAUAGUACCUCCAUCUAUCAAAAUGCCUCUGAAUACUUGAAUCAAUCUCUCUUAAGCACUCUGAGCUGAGGAGUAGCUUCACUCAAAACACCUACUUUACUCAGGAUGUAGAUACGCACGAGCGACUGCCCUCACACGCUCUAAACUAGGAAUCCAUACUUCUCUUUGAUUCUAAUGUCAUUUCUGGGCCUCUUCGCUAAACGGCUUGUUUCAUGUAAGUGUGCACCUGUUCUGUUCCAUAAGUCAGUAACGAAACACCCUUAUGAAGCGCAAAAUACUCUUAUGUAUGGCCAAACUCCAGAAAUGUGGUAAGCUGAUUCCUGGCAACGAGUAUCUUUCUGUUCGCCCUGUUCUACUUUCAAUCCUGAAUCGGACCGGACUAACUAACGCCGGUUGUUUGUUCUUUCGAGCUCACGUUGCUUGUUGAACUAACUAAGGCACUUUCAUUUCCAGUAGAUAAUUCGAAUAGGAAUCGAAUUGUUGUGCACC